UUUUUUUUUUUUACCCAUUCUCUGUUUUCACUGGGACGUCACGUAAGCAUCCGUUGAGAAAAAUAACAAGGAAAGAAAGCACAUUAUACGCUUCAAUCGACCGCACUAUACCCGCUGUCCGCUGAUGCAUCGCUCUGUUGCUCGGAUACUCGAACGUAGUGGACUGUAUCUUCUAGGUAACCAUGCAUCGAACAAUGAUGCCAUUCUUGUUAAAAAGAAGAAACAAUGAUGCCAUUCGGCAGCCCGCAGCCCUCCCUGUUCUGUUCGCGUGUUCCUACUCAUUUUCGGCGCGAACAAUGUGCGCGCGCCCAGGUUUUCCUGGGUUUCUUACUCGCUAAGAAUUUUGCAGCGUCGUCGGGAAAGGGCAAAAGGCGGAAGGAGAAGGAAGAGCAGGAGUGUGAAGAGGGAACCAAUGAUCCAUGGCCCCAUGUACGCAUGAUGAUGGAGUGGAGGAGGUCCAGCGGCAAUUGCGGGAGGCCAAUAAUGAUGGCAUCAUGGCCCAUGCAUUUGCAUCAGGCUUCUUUUCAUGCAGCAGCUGGGGAACCCAUAAAGCCCUCCGGACUGGGACGGGCUGCCAAGAACUCGGCGACCACUUGUACCAGGAACCAUGUUUCAAACCGGCAGUAGAAACUGCAAUCCCGUUCCGGAUUGGUGACGUGCAGUGGACUUGGAAUUGGUACUUGCGCGAUCCUUUCGCUUUCUGGGCGACAAAAUGUGGUUGCAUCAAGUUAGCUUCGUUGCGGUGCCAUGCCAAUAUGCAUGUUCAGUCCUCGACAAAAUGAGAUCAGGCACAUUUUGGACGACUGAAACACAGAAUCCUUGGCUAUCACUUUCGUUGCUCCUCGUUCCAGCUCUGAUCUGGCCACCUGGGGCAGCACUGCAGCAGGAUCGGAUCAUCACGGGGCGAUCGUUCUCUUUGCAUCGGAUGCAAAAGGCUUCUGCCUUAGCUUCUUUCUCUGCGGUCGUUGCUCCCUCGCAUCGAAGCGCAGAGCACCCACGCGCAGCACCGAGGAAUAGAUCCCCCUGCCGGCUGCCGCGAGCCGUGCCGACAAGCCACGCGAAGCGAGGCCGGAGGAAUCCGUCGGAUGCCAUGCUGCCAUGCUACAGUGCGCGCAGGGCAUGAAGGCCUGCCGUCGGCAGUGAUACCGGCUGUCACUUUUGUAUAGGGUGCACGGAGCUCGCAUCCCCUCGUCGUCGCUGGCUCGCUGCCCAGCGCCGAUCGAUCGAGAGGUCGCUCUCGCGACGCAGACGGACUGACGCCUCGAUGAACACAGGUGCGGCAGGACAGUCGAGGUCGUCGCAGCGGCGGGUUGACGUGCCAAGUUGCACCGGGCACAGUGGACACUCGUCUCUGCUGCGCUGCACGACCAUCCUGGCGCGCAGGGCCGCUGGAAGGAGGCUACGGCUACACGAGGGGAACUGGGGAAGCAGACCUCCUCUUGCACAAACAAUGAAGGAUUACGAAUUGUCACACGGUCACUUUACAAAGGCAAAAAAAAAACAUUUCGUGAAGGAUUACGGUUUUCGUUGCCGUGUCCUCAGAUCAUGACCACGGAAAAGGUGUACACAGACACAACUAACAACCCCGAUCCCAUCGCGAGGGAAUGCUCGAACACGGCGUAUCCGUUCGUCACAUCGCGGAAGACUCUCCUGGACGUUCAGAGGAUAUAGCGUACGGCGGAUGCCUCGAGUCGAGAAACGAACGUUGCCGCGAUCCUCGAAAUUGCUAUGCGUCGGACGGAACGGGUCCCAGAACACGUGGACGUUGCGAAAUCCGCGCGCACGGGCGCCGCCGGGCCUCACCCGGAUUCCCCGAACGCGCCGCGCGCCCGUGCCCGAGCCGCCCCGGCGUUCCCGAGCCAGCAACAGGCGCAACAGACUGUCGUCUCCAGCAUCUAUUCUCGGCUGCCAUCCCGUGGAUGGAGUCCGACCAUCGAAUAACCUUCUUUUAGACUGCUAAAUGUUUGUCAACGGCAUCCAUUUAGACGCAAUAAGAUCCGACGGGAACUGUAAUAUUUCAAAAAUUUAUAAUAUUUGUAAGAAUGAAAAUUUGCAAAAAAUUAAAACUUUUUGUUUGAAUUGUGUGCUCAUUUGAAAAGCUAAAUUCCAUUUCAAAAAUAUGUGUAGCUUGAUUUGGACUUUUAUUUGAAGUUCAUGUUUGAGUGUUGUUUGAAUUUUGGAUUCAAUUCAAAAUUCAAACUAAAUUUAAAACCUAAAUCUAAACCAAAUAAAACAAAACUUAAUCUAACCAGCCCGCUAAUCGGCCCGCUAACCUCUCCCCUCAACCGCGCACCCAGCCCAUCUCACCACCAGCGCUCGCUAGCUCGGCAGCCGCUGCUCGCCCGCGCCUUGCCCACCCACUGGGCCGCUCGCCCACUCGCGCCUGCGCCCGGCCCAGCUCGCUCGCGCUGCUUGCCCACGCCCGCGCCCCCGGCCCUGUUCAUCUUCUUCCCUUCUUCGUACCGCACGCGCCCGGCGCGUGUGCGGUCACGGGCGGGCGGAGGGGCCGCGCUGGCGCGCACCACCGGCCAAAGGAUGCCGCCGUGUCCCGCUCCCAGGAGCUUCCGUUUGGAGCAAAAGACGCUUGUACCCUCGCAUCUCAAACCCUAGGGACGGGCCGCAGAUGGGCGCCACACCAUCCUCGAGCGUGGAUGCUGAGGAUGGACGGCCGGCACCAUCCUUUCCCCUCCACCACCUUCUCCGCCCUAUAAAACCAGUCACACCCCCUCUCCGGCCUCACCACCUCUCUAGCCCUUGGGGCGGCGCCGUCCACCACGUGAGGGAGGGAGAGGGCCAUGGGAAGGAAAGGAAGGAAGGAGAAGGAAGGAGAGGAGGUGAAUAAGAGGAAGGAAUGAGGAGGAAGCCGUCCGUGGGAGCAACCGCCACCCGAAGCUGUUGCCACCACCGCUCGCCACCGACGCGUCGCGCCUCCGCCAAGCCUCGCCAUGAGCCCGCUCGUCCCCUCUCCCAUGCUCUGUUUCGAUAGUGUAGCGUAGAGUAGACCGGGCCGCUGUCGCCGCCUUACCGUCGGCCGCCACAGACCCGGGUCUCCGGUGUUCCACGUGCCGCCGCGGCUAAGCCAUGGCCGGGAGCCCGUGCCCGCGCGCUCGCUCGCGCCGCGCCCGCCUCGCCCGUGUGCCGCUUGUCGUGCGCGGCCACGCCCGCGCCGUGCCACGCCGCGCCGCCGCCCACGUGGCCGCCACGUCGGCGCCACGUGGUGCUGACAUGGCCGAGCCAGGCCCAUCGGUGGGGCCCAUCUCUGACCGUUGACCGGUCAACGUUGACCGUUGACUAGGUCAACACUGACGUCAGCAAGACACGUGGCAUCCCCUCAGGCUGCCACAUGGACCAAUUCCGUGCUGACACGUGUUCCCCUUAAUAAGUAUUUUCUGAAAUUAUUAAAUAAUUAAAUAAAUUCUUUAAUCUUUAAAAAUUCAUAAGUAAUUUAUUUUAACUCGGAAAAAUAUAAAACCAGUUGCAUUAAAUUCGUAAAAUCGGGCUCGUGCUGUUUGUAGCUAGGUUGGUAUUAUUUGGAUCUUAUAAAUGUGGAUUUCUUGGAGUUUUUUCCUAGAUGUAAUGCUGCUUAAUUUACGCUUUGUUGUAUCUCAUUCUGUUCAGACCCGAGCUACGACCAGGAAGACCUUCAAGGCCCCGACUACGCCGAAGAGGACCCAAUAAACUACGGACAAAGUGUCGUGUCACUCCCAAUUAUAUAGAUCCUAUGCAUGCUUAGUUGCUAGCGCUUUACUUAUAUUGCUUGAUGAUGGUGGAUUGCAUAGCCGAUGAUUUUAGCCAUACCUUGAUAAUUGUUUAUUCUAUUUUCCUUAUUUACCUACUUUUAUGGACUAGCUACAGACCCUUAGCUUAUUGCUUGAUGAUGGUGGAUUGCAUAGCCAAUGAUUUUAGCCAUACCUUGAUAAUUGUUUAUUCUGUUUUCCUUAUUUACCUACUUUUAUGGACUAGCUACAGACCCCUAGCUAGUCCACCGCUCAUAUAUCCAUAUACAUAUUUUUGAGUUAUGGAUGGGCAUUUGCCAUUAUUUUGGUGAUAGAAUUCCUUGAACACUCUCGCAUGUGUUUUGGGUGAGUGUGAAUCCUUGAUGUGUUCGAGAGCAAGCCAUGGUUGGUACUGAGGAGUGCAUUGCCGGGAGAGAGCUUUCUGGACUCUCUCUGUACCCUGUACCUAUGGCGGGUACCUUGUUUGUUACUGAGAAGCAGAUGGCGUACUUGUACAUUGCAGGUGCUUCGGCACGUACUUGUUGGCAGAGUGCUCGCUCUCAGCCGCUUAAGGACCGAGUCAGUUUACCACCAGUCGCAGUAGCUACUUUUUGCACUUACCACUCGCUUACGUUAUGAGUGGGGUUCGAUCCGAGACUAAUAGUGGAUAGUGCUCUGCAUGUAGGCGGAUUGGAGGAUCGUGAAAGAAGUUCGAGGCGUUGGCUUGCUCGGACCAGACUGCACCCCGGUGUAUGUAGGUUUCACAGCUUCGAGGUCCUUAUUGGUGAAGGCGUGCCCUGCUGCUGAGGAUGAUUCCAGACUCGAGGAAACAGGAGAGAGCUAUCCACUUACUAGGGCUCCGGCUGUUAGGUGGGGUUUGGACGACUAGCUACCGUUCAAGCUCAAUCCGUGCAGGUACAGUUGUACAACCUCUGCAGACAGAGUAUAUAAGCUAUAGCUAUAGUCCGUGUCCACUGGUUAUGGACAAUGUUGUUGACUACCGCUACUUGUGACUAGAAUUUUCUUAUGCUUCUACCUUUCCUUUUUGAGAUAGGUCGGCAUUUGCCGUUGAGAUGUGAGGGAAGGGAGCUCUCACAUCGCCUAAUGUGUUUAGGUGCUGGACCCUCGAGUGAGGGAUCUAGUGAUUUGUGCCGACUUCCUUACUUGAGGUGUUGACCUUGGAGAUGAUGUUGCUUUGCCGCUUCCUUGAUGGCUGCUGCUACUGCAUAAACCCCUACGGUCAUAUAUAGGUUUUACUCAUGCAUAUAGUAUAAUUCCCCCGUUUUCUUGGCUUUGCUGCUUUUGGGAGUUGACAUGGCCUACCCGCUUCUCGGGUAAAAGGUGGCUUUUCAUGAUCAGAGCUCAACUACGACUUUGACAACGACGGCUGAGAAGACUAGGGACCGUUGUUCGCUCGAGUCGUCUUUGGAGAUGGAGUUCACCAUAGCUUUUGUUUUCCACUACGUUGAUGUUUUACCUUUCUUGAUUUAGUCCUGAUGGAUUUGUACCGGCAUGUGCCGCUAAGAUGUACUCGUACUCAUAUUAUCUAUGAUAUUUGUACUCUGUUACGCUUUCUUUUUCUACGUUGGUAUGGAUUUGUACUAUUUGAGAUAGGGAUUUGCACGUGAUAGCCUUCCUGAAACUAUCACCGAGGUACGUGGGUUUAAAUUCUCAGAAAUGGAAAUUCGGAUCAGUUUCAUAAACGUUCGACCUUAACACACUGGCCGGCACGACACUAACGUACAUUGGAUGUUAGCAAAAAAACAUCUAUCUAAAUUAUCACACGUUUCCAUUUUCUUGGUCUUUUUUUCUUGCACCAGGCUAGCUUACCUAAGAAAAAAAAUAGGAUACGUUUUUAAACAGGCCUGCGUAAGGCACUUUCAAAAGCUUAUCCCACUCCCGGCCAAAUAACCUUCUUUCUUUACUCUCGUUCACCCUUCCCGGGGGUGGUGGUAUUAGGGUCGCACUCUUUGCAUUGCUGACCCUCAGCGACCUGCUUAACUAGUAGCGCGGCCGCGAGACGGGCAGGCGGCGGCUACUGGUGGCGGCGGCGGCGCGGCCGCAGAGGAGCGCGUUCUCCGGGAUGGGGAGCUCGUCGCGGAACGAGGGCGUCGGCGUGUACACCCGGAGGUAGAACUGCUGGCCCAGGUACCGGCGCGCCCACACCUCCGACCUCAUGUUCCACAUGCCCACGUUGUCCAGCGCGAUCAGAACCGCCGUCCACCCUCUUGGGUAUACCUGCACGUACAGAGCAACGAGUGAGCAUAGCCACUUAACAGUUGACAAACCUAUGCCUGGCAGGAGAAGAAUGAUCAGAAGGAAAAAAAAAUGUCUUUACUUGCACGGUGCAUCGCGAUACUGCAUCCACGAGGUUGUAGCUGUCCCUGCUCUGCUCGGUCCACGUCCCCACGUCCAUUCUACGUUAAUCGUCAGCCAAAAGUUCACAGACCAUAAGGUUGCCGGUUCUAACGCGAGUUUAUUUAAGCUUAAUCUCUGAAGGAGAAGGUAUUCACGUACCCGACGACGAACACGCUGUGGCCGUCGAGGUGCCAGCUCUGGACGCCGUCCUCGCUGUUCUCGAGCACGACCUCGACGAAGGACCGGUGGUCAGAGUCCAUGACGGCCGUCUCGCUCCGCACCUCCUCCGUGGCGCCGCCAGCCGGCGGCGUGUCAGGGAUGCCGCCGAGGCGGAACACGCCGCUGAUGUUGUAGUAGUCCGCCAGCUUGAGCGGCGUGUCGGCCUCCGCGAACGAGACGCCGUUCACGGCGUACCGCAGCUUGCCGCCGACCGACCCCGCCGAGUUGGCCAGCCGGAUGGUGCGGGUCACGUUGAUGGAGCCGUAGUGGUACGAGCCCUGCGGGUUCGGCCUCGGCCCGCUCGCCGUCAGGUUCGUCCUGCUCCCGCGACAACAAAGCUUCAGGUUCAUAUACGAAUCGACCGAGAUGUGUGCAUGGUGAGCUUUGGAUGUCCAUGGCCCGGAUGAGUUCACGUUUCUACCUGAUGGAGCGAGCCUGGUUCAGAGAAAAAUCGACGUCGCUUGGUGCAUCGGGUAAUGCCUCGAAAGCUGGGCCACUUGAACCAGCGUAGCGGAUGACGGCGGUAGAGCGGAGGGUGGUGUUGAUGAAGCGGGUGGAGACGGCGAUGUAGUAGUCCCUGGCCUGGCGGUCGGCGGUGAACAGCACGGAGAGCGACUGGCCGGCGUGGACGUCGACGGAGGUGUACGAGUUCUGAACCGUGUGAGUGCCCUCCACCUCGACCAGUGUCAUAUUGUGCCCUUGGAUGAGGAAGUUGAGCGUGUUCUGCAGACCGACGUUGGAAAUGCGCAAUCUGUAUGUCUUUCCUGAAUGGAAGAAAAAAGGAAAGCAAUGUGAACCAUGACUACUUUCCCAGGUCAGUUUUUUUAUGAGUUUGUUUAAGGCAAUUUUUUUUGAUUUGACCGGGAUAUAUAAGAAAACAAACAGACAUGGCCGUUUUGGCAACUAGGUUUUGAUCAAACUAAUCCCACAAAGUAGCUUGGAAUUUAGAAGUCAAAGUCACCUUGCUCAACUGUGAAAUUUGCACCGUCUGGACUCCUCUUCCCGUUGAUCAGGAUGCCAUCAGGGGAAGGCAGUUCCUUUCCACAGUCCAGCAAAUCUUGUAGCGCCUAAAUUGACAGCAAGAACAAACGUCUAAGAACCGGUUGGGCCAGUAAUAGCAAUACGAUAUUUCAUCAAGCCAUACCUUGUGGCUAGCGGUGUACCAGUCGCCGAUGAGCACAGUGUACUCGUCGUCCGGCGAGGGGAACGGGACGGGGAUCAACGGCCGGCUGUGGAUGCGUAUUGCGCCGAAGCCGCCGGCAGCUUUGUGGAAUGCCAGCGACGGGAAGUAGAAGAAGCUGCCGAUCUGGUCCUUAGCCUGCAAGUGGUAAGUGAAAUUCUGGCCCGGCGGGAUUGGGCAAUUGGUGCCGGACACGCCAUCCUGCCACGAGUCCUUGCGUUGCUGCAAACCGUUCCUGCCAAUUUAGUAAAAAUGUAGCAAAUUAGUUAACAUUCACUUGGACAGUAACUCUAUAUUUUACUGAAAAAUAAAUAGAGCAAAUAUUUUCCCUAACUAACUCGUCAACGCUUUUCAUUCUUUAAUAUGGGAAAUCUUGUAGCCGAUAAUAAAUACUCUGGCAUAUAUGUAGUACAUUGAACUUCAUGAUGCUCUAGGUUCCGUUUAGAUUACAAUUAUAUCUCAAUAUUGAAUUAAAUCUAGACCAUCAUUUCAUAGCCAUCCAUAAUUCUAUCACAAUGCUACCCGUGAAUAUCCAAGUCCUCCAAGAGAUGUAGCUAUAAGCCAUAAUUCUAUCAAAAAAAUAAUUGCUUAGCAUCCAAUACAAAUUGGUAUUCAAUUCAAGCAACAAUCAUCAAUAUAGCAGUUUUGUUGCUGCACAACUCUAAUAAACAUAUAUCAUCAGGUAUAAUUACAUGUAGUACUCAUCUUAGAAACCCACCGAAUUUGACAAGACAAGCAAAUCAAUGAAUACAAUAUUUUUUUAUAGAUUGAUCUGACCAUACCAUGAAAGCAGAAACGGAUCGGGUAAAUUGUUGUGAACAUUGAUGAUCAAGUUCUCGUUAGUCUGGCUUUCAAUCGUCGGACCCGGAAACUGGCCAUUGAUCAGAAUUCCCUAGAAAAAGAAGCAAACACAUCGCUCAUGAUGGGUGAUUUUCAGGAAGCGAAGGAAAUUGUAGGGCGAUGCUACACGUUCCAUGACCUAUAGCAGAUUGUUACGUUACCUGCUGCGAGACGCCCAGUGGUCUUAUUUCGCCGUAGGUGAUGUUCCAACCAAAGAAUCUAUAGGGUGCUUCAGCCGACGCGGAGUUGAUCAGCAAGAAGAUGCAAGCAAGGAGCAGGUCUCGCGUGUUCCCGGCCAUCAUCUCCUCCCACGGCGCGCUUGCAAUUCGGUAGAGGCGGAGGAGAUGGCGCGGCUAGCCGGCUACUAUAUAUAGGGCAAGGCUGGCGGCGGCGGAUUUCUUUUAUUUAUGGUAUGCAGGCGUGGAGGCGACUGCGGAUAUGCAGGCGUGGAGCCCCCACUCCCUGAUGUGCGUAAGGCCCACGUCCGAAUGGGCUCCAUUCGCGCGCCGUUUGAACAAGACCCAGGCCCUUAUGCGGGCUCAUUCUGAUGCUGAGAGAUAGGCUAGCCCAAAAGCAACGCGGGCACCCAACGCUUGCUGCUUUACCGAGCGACGAAAAAGCCCAUCUAAAAAAAGAAAUAGAAUGACCAAAUAGCCCACACUGCCUCCGGCGCCGUCCGGUCCCCGUCGUCAUCCGAAGCCGCGCCGCGACGAGCGAAGAAGGAACAAUCCGGAGGCGCACCACCUGCCUCACCUUCUUCCUCCCAUGGCGCAGCCCCUCGCCGCCGCCGCCGCUGUAUCCUCCUCAUCGCCCCUCUUCUCCCUCUCCUCAUCCCGCCCCCUCGUCCGCCGCCACGCGCCUCCGAGCUAUGUCUCGAUGCGGACGCGUCGCUGUUUGCAGCUCGCCGCGGCGUCGGCGGCGGCCGAGACAUCCGGCAGCCCGCUUCUCGAGGUGCGGGGGCUCACCGCAUCCGUGAAGGAGACCGGACAGCAGAUCCUAGCCGGCGUCGACCUCACCAUCCGCGAGGGCGAGGUUCGUGCGGGUUUCUCAUUGGCUGGAAAUUAUUGGCGGCUUGUGGUGUAUUGCUUAAUUGGGGCUGCAAGGGGUUGACCGACGAUGGUUUUAAUUUCUGUGCUUUCUUGUUAUAGAUUCAUGCGAUCAUGGGGAAGAACGGCUCCGGCAAGAGCACCCUCACAAAGGUAAGGUGCUUCUGGUCGAUGCACCUGCUCUUCGUGUUAUAAUUGAAAGCAUUGAGAAAUAGGACGUUUCUGCGGGCAUGCGUUUAUUUGGAUGUUUAUACGAGGCACUACUUUGCUAAGAUCAAGGGCUGUGCUGAAAUAUUCCUUGUUACUCCUGUAAUCUAAUUUUGUUCAUUUUAGUUUUCACUAUGCAUUGUCCCCAAUCGUAGUGCUAGCCUACUGCACUAAAAUUUGCUUCACUAAAAGAAUCAUGCACUACUACUGGUUCAGUAAUCUAGCCACGUAUACCUUUUAAAGUUAUUAAUCAGGAAAUGGCCUGUAUACAAAUUGUAAAAAAAGUGUGCUCUUUGCUUUGGUACCUGCACAUUCGGUUGAACCUUUCAUCCUUGCUUUGCAGGUUCUUGUUGGCCAUCCACAUUAUGAGGUAACUGGCGGUACCAUCCUCUUCAAGGGUGAGGACUUGGUUGACAUGGAUCCAGAGGAUAGAUCUCUUGCAGGCCUUUUUAUGAGCUUCCAAGCACCUAUUGAGAUUCCUGGAGUGAGCAAUUUUGAUUUUCUGCUCAUGGCAGUCAAUGCUCGCAGAGAAAAGAGUGGUCUACCAGCACUAGGACCCCUUGAGGUUUGAUUUCACAACUGCUGUGUUGAGAUAUAUAAAUUUUCACAAGCCAUAAAUAUAAUAAAACAUUGUCCUAAUAUAUUUACAACAUUACUCCAUCUGUGAUCAAAUACUGGUAUGUUAUAUAAAAGGCAGGAAAGGGACGAACAAAGUUAGUAUUUUGUUUGAUUUGGUGGAUUUCAAAUGAAGCUUAGCUUGCCAUAUUAAAUUGUAGCAUCAUACUAGUUCUCAUGCAGUAAGAUAUUGCAACUAUGAAUUUGUGAGAAAGAUGUAGAUAUACCUCUUCAAACAUAUAACCCAGGCAUUGAUUCUGAAAUGUCUUUGCUUUCUCAUGCAGUUUUAUUCGGUUGUAUCGCCCAAAAUUGAUGCCUUGAAUAUGGACCCUAAGUUUCUUGAUCGAAAUGUGAAUGAAGGUUUUAGUGGUGGUGAAAGGAAGCGCAAUGAGAUAUUGCAACUUUCAGUAAGAUAUUGCAACUAUGAACUUGCAUGGAAUCUUGGUUUGUACGCCAAUGAAUAUUACACUUCAGUGCCUGUGAACUAAGCAUGAAGCUGCACAGUUUUUUAACUUUUCAUAUUACAGUCAUGACGUUUUUAAAACAUCUCAGGGUUAGUUAUAUAGGAUUGUAGUAAAAACAUAUUUCUUGGCUUGCAGCCUUGCAUACGGUUUCUUUUUUUUUAUGACUAUGGAGUUGGAAUUUCUUUUCCUGUCUUAUGAAAUCUGUGGUAGAUUUGUCUGCCAGACCUUUGGAAUUUGGUGUCCCCCAUACAUUUUUGAAGCAAAUGUAUUUUACAUGAAGUGUAUAUUUGAUACCAUGAUUGUAUUCGGUUAUACUUAUAUUUGGUAUUCAGUAGGUCUUUUUCCCCCAAUGAGGAUCACCUUUGAAAACAGUUUUCUUAUUUGUGCAUAUCGUUGUCAUUGUUUUGUUGAGGUUUUUUAUGUAUAUAUUAUGUGCUUGACGAAGUUUCGAUGCAUUGGCAUAAUAACACUUUUUUUCUUAGACGAAGCUUAUGUAGUAAUGUGAAUAUACUAGGCUUCAGAAUUUGUUUUGUCUAUCUAUUUGUGCACUUCAUCAAUAGAUUACCAUCUCUGAUUCAGGGUGUUUGUUUGUUAAUUAGGUCAUCGGAGCAGAUUUAGCUCUUCUUGAUGAGAUAGAUUCCGGAUUAGAUGUUGAUGCACUUGAAGAUGUAGCUAAUGCAGUGAAUGGGCUCUUGACACCCCAAAACUCUGUUCUGAUGAUUACACAUUACCAACGCCUUUUGGAUCUCAUUAAGCCCAGCUAUGUUCACAUCAUGGUAAGGCUGAUUACUGUUUGAUCAUUACAUCUAUUUUUGCAUCAUUAUAGAGCAUUUCCAUACAAAAGACUGCACUCGUGGUCCCUCUUUCUACGAUGUUAAUCUGGGAUAAGGUGGUGAAGAGCUGUUGCAAACAGCUAAUGGCCAUUAUCCCACCUUCCCACGGAGGAGAGAGACUGCGGGGAUUCUGUAUUGGUUGCAUUAAAGAGGCUAGUCUAUGACAGGGAUUGGGAUGCUACAUUUCCAUUUCAUCUACUACUAAAUUCAUGCGCACAAGUUUAAGAUAAUUUGUAUCUUUAGUAUUUAUACUGGACACCGUUCAGAUGUUUAUAAGCAAUACUCGCUUUUCUUUCUUAUUUGAUGUUUGAUGCUUACGCACACUUAUUAAAUAAAAGCACUAGAUGAACCCAUACUCCUAUUCAUUAAAUAUGUGUUUUUCCUAAAACCCCCCGUUGUGACCAAUUAACACUGAUAUUGAGUCUUAUAAAUUAUAUCACACACUAAACGUGGUUACUUCAGAAAGAUGUUGGUAUCUCUCUUUGUUAAAAUCAGAUGGAAAAAGAAGACUUGUAUAAACAAAACCAAGAACCAAGAAUGGAUGUAACUCUAAAUAAAAUUUACAGGGAACAUCGAUGGGUCCAGUCAUGUGGCCUCCACACUAAUUAAGACCUUGUUGGCGUCUUUGUAAUCCUUACUUUAUUUCCAGGUUUCAGAAUAUGAGAUCACUGCUUGUAUUUUUGUGCUUCAAACUUCUUAGAAUACAGGGUUUGUGUUGUUUCUGAUAGUGCUUCUGAUUGAUUAUUCCAGGAAAAUGGCAAGAUAAUCAAGACUGGUGACAGUUCUAUUGCCACACAAAUUAAUGAAGGUGGCUUCAAGUCGAUCGCCCUUGUAUAGCUUGAAAGUAGGUUCUAUUUUCUUCCUUGCGCCUUUUCUUAUAUAUUUUGUGGGAAUAUUCUCGGUCUUCUGACUGAUAUGAAGUUGAACUAUGCAUAGACAUGGUGGCAGUGCCAGUGAUUUUCCUGAUAAAAGAAAUAAAAUGAUCAGAAGGAAUUUGUUUAGAUUGGUCUGUGCAAAAGUAAAUGAGGUUCUUAAGGAUUAAAAAACUCACUGCAGGUCAAAUACUUGAGAUGGCUUGUUGGGAGCCUACUUGUAAGAAUAGAGUGGCAGAGUGGCUGCUGAGUGCUGACUGCUGCCUGGGGUUCGCCAUUUUGCAUUACUAGACCAACUAUGCAUGCUGGUGCAGCAUGUACUGACUUCAAUAAAACUUUUGAGUAGAACCCCAUUCAACCAGGCAUGUUAUCUUUUAAAAGGUGAAGGGAUAUGUCACCUUUUCUCUGUAAGAAUUUUAGUCAUACCCAGGGAAAGUAUCUUAGUACAAGAUCCACAAUUUUUGUAUAUUUGAGUGUAACUGGCUGCCUCAGGCAUCUGGUCAUCAAGAUUGGUUUUGCAUGCAUCUUUUGUAUACAAUUUUGAGACUUGUAACUAAUAUGCAUACCUACAAGGUUACUUGGUUGUCUCCACACGAGAGAAUUUGGUCCUAUCAUCAAUGUACAUGUGUGCAGCCUCUCUAGGCUGCCGAUUUACCUAUUUCUGUUAUGUUUUAUAGUGUGCAAAAGCACCUGAGCUUCAAUCGGGCUUAAUGACCUAUGACUCCACUAAUGGUAUUGGUGCUGGAUUUCUGUUAUUCCCAUUGCAGUUGACCUCUGUCCCAAAGAAUAUGAUUCGGUUGUUCGCUUGUUGGGACUGGUGGACCAUGCUGAAGUUUUCUUAUGUGCAUUCCAGACAAACGUAUUCUUAGGCUGUUAACCUUUAUCCGUCCGCCACUAUAUCACUAAUGGUGAGUGGCUACGGGGCUUAGCCUCUCCUGUUACAAUUUGCAAGUGCUAGCACCAUCCAAUAACAAACGAAUCUUUAUGAGGUGGCGGCUUUCUUGCUGCUUAGUAAUAAGCAUUGAUCAAGGUUGCAACUUGCCGUUGACUCUGUGCACUGUGGUCUGAAUUCAGUAUAAAAUAUAGAGCAUGGUAAUCUAUUUCAGCUUUGACUUCUGUUCUUCGGCGCAAUCGGAGGUGAAUUGAGGAAGGUGUUAUCAGAUUCAGUCGAAAAGCUAGGUGAAAGUGGUCAACCUCGCACUCUGUCGAAGACAGGAAUCGGAGAACCUUCGGUGGAUGCCUGAGCAUCUGGCCAAUUUCGAAAGGCUACAAAUCUCGAGCACAUGAAAGUCAACUGCUUCGUACUAUAAAGAUUUCGAGAAUUUCGAAGGUCCUGCAGAACCUACAUGGCUGCAUUAUCCAUGGCCGUCACUACAUCUUCAUUCGGGUGGUCAGUAGCACAGCAUCCUCCUUUUCGUCCGGCCUCCACCGCACACGCCAUGGUUGGCUACUACUCUAUCGACCAAAAGAGGCCGCCGGUAGCCGAGGUCGCCGUCGCACGAUCGCGACGUCGCCGUCACGCUGCAGCGGCGGCGCGGUUGGGUCCACGUGGCGCGCACCGCGGGCGCUGGCGGUGCAAAUGGGGCUCAUCAUCCUGAGGUGGCCGUGGCCUCACUCCCCCCGUCACCGGCCGGGCGAAACCUAAUCCUCCUCCUGCCUGAAUCGGGUCGCAUUCGGGGAAUGUCUUCCGGCCGGCCGCUAAUUCCGUGGCGUAAUCAUGCCUUUUUGCAUUAGCCGGGUUUGCUUUUUGCGCAUUGGGCGGUGACUCAUGCCAUCAUCCUGAAUCUUUGCUAUAAAACCCAUGCACCGGGUGUUACUUGGACCAAGAGCCUGCAGCCUGGUCUCUGCUCUUGGUUUGGCUGCCGCAUUGGCACACAUCCAGGUAGUGGCAGUUCUGUCUCGGAUAGACAUUUUCUUCUUUUGACUCUGGCUUCUCUCUUCCUUUGGUCCUGAAACGGGUUAGGAUGGUGACCUGAAAUGAAUCUCACUCAUGGUUUGUUCACACGUGCGUGCAACUCAGUCUUGAAUGAUGCCUGCAGAGGCUGCGGCACCUCGGUGAAACCUGAGCUACCUGAUGAGCAACAUUGCUCCGAUGGCCUCGCGGGCGCUCGCCGCGUGGCGGCAGCUCAUCAUGCUCCUCGCUCUCCUCUUCCUCGACGCCGCCGUCGCGAGGCAGUGCUUCUGGCCGGGGCAGGCGCCCGAUGACGCCGGGUGCCUGAGCUGGCGCGUCAUGGUGGAGGCCAACAACGCCCGGGGCUGGCGCACGGUGCCCGCGCAGUGCGUCGGCUACGUCAAGGGGUACAUGACCCGGGGCCAGUACCUCAGGGACCUGGCCGGCGUCAUGGAGCAGGCCUCCGACUACGCCGACCAGGUCGACGCCGGCGCCGACGGCCUCGACGCCUGGGUCUUCGACAUCGACGACACCUGCCUCUCCAACCUGCCCUACUACGAGACCAAGCAGUUCGGGUACGCACGACGCACUCCCCUGUCCAGGCAUCUCGAUCGCUACCGAUCAGAUGAUGAUUCGGUCUCCUUCCUUUUCCAGGGCGUACGACCCGUCGGCCUUCAAGGCGUGGGCGAGCAAGGAGGCCUGCCCGGGGAUCCCGCCGGUGCUCGGGCUGUUCACGGCGCUGCUGGACAAGGGCUUCAAGGUCUUCCUCCUCUCCGGGAGGGACGAGGAGACCCUGGGCCCGUGCACGACCGGGAACCUGGAAGCGGAGGGCUUCUCCGGGUACGAGAGGCUCAUCAUGCGGUACGAGCGAGCACGCAGCUUCCCUGUUCGGUUCCCACUGUCCGAGUGUGCGAACUUUGGCACCGUUAGUGCGUCAGUGACGUGGACGGCUGAACAUUCAGAUUCACUGCCAAAUAGGAAAAGGCUGGACGGUCCUCCCUUUGCGAGCAAACCAGUCACGAUCCCUAUCCCGAAAUUGCCGUCGAGAACGUCAUCCGGAUUUCUUUUCUUCAAUUUGCGCUCACAAUUUGCUUUUACUGAAAUGGCAUGACUCGUGACGGCUUGCAGGACUCCGGAGUACCGCGGGCAGAGCUCGUCGGUGUUCAAGUCGGCGAUGAGGAAGCAGCUCGUCGACGAAGGCUACAGGAUCCGCGGCAACGUCGGGGACCAGUGGAGCGACCUGCAGGGCGACUGCGUCGGCGACCGCGUGUUCAAGAUACCCAACCCCAUGUACUUCGUCCCCUGAAGGAAAAUUUCUGCCUCGACAUGCCUGACCGAUUUCAUCAGGAUCAAAGGUUGAGCGUACAAGCUAUGUGGAGAAAAAAACGUGAUGUAAACGCAUGGCCAAUGUGGAAGAAGCACAGGCCGUAAAACAAAUGCAAACAAAAAAAAACAAGAUGAAAAACCCUCUUCUUUCACUCCAAUGUCUGAAUCACUGAAUGUGCUCGUAACAAGCAAGUCAAACUGAACAAUCCCCUGGCGAAGCAGUAGGCUGCAGUGCGGAUCCAAUCGCUCAAGACGAGGCGAGGCAAAUUUGGCCAAGUUCUUGCCGGCGAGGCGCCCCCGGCGCGUCCGUGCUGCCGUGCGCCGCAACCCCGCUAGCAGUUCACAUCGACAGGCACGGCGAUCGACCACGACUGCCGGGGCGUGCCGGACCCGAAGAUCCGCAUCUUCGACGUGGGCCAGAAGCGGCGCGGCGUGGGUGAAGGAGAACGUCUCCAGCGAGGCCCUGGAGGCGGCCGGCCCGGAUCGCGUGCAACAAGUACAUGGCCAAGCAACGCGGGCAGGGAGCCAGGGACGCCUUGUUCCACCUCCUGGUGCGGGCGCAGCCCUUCCACGUCCUCCGCAUCAACAGGAUGCUCUCCUGCGCGGGCGCCGACCGCCUGCAGACCGGGAUGCGCGGCGCCUUCGGCAAGCCCACGGGCACCUGCGCCCGGGGUCAGCAUCGGGCAGGUACUCCUCUCCGCGCGGUGCCGCGACGCGCACGCGCCCCAGGCGCACGAGGCGCUCCGCAGGGGAUUGGAGCAAUGGUCCAUGACGUUGCACACCAGUGCCCUAUAUCGAUCUUUGAAUAAAUAGUUGUAUUGAUGAGACACACAUGACAUACACGAUCACUUCUACGAAUCAAUCAAGCUAAUGGUUCUCGGAUGGAAACAUGAUAUCGUAGCGACGAGCUGUGCGAGACUCACUAAGAAGUGUAGAAUCACACGGAAAAUGAGAGAGUGGAUAUCACCUUAGAAAAGUUGGUGGUCUUAUACCCCUUGCACCGAAUUCGUCUUUAGAGUGCGUGUUACUUCCUUUAUUCACGAAUUCAAACAUGACAUCCACAUGUCCUUAUUACCUUACCUAAUUUUUUUUUAAAAAGAAUGUCAUUCCUUUUCUUUUAUCAAAGUUUCAUUUUCUAUAUCUCUCUAGUCUCACUCAUUUUUGCUAGAUUUUAUCAAAAGAUUUCACAAAAAGUUUUUAUGGGAUAGUUUCCACAAAAUUCCUUUAAAUUUUUUUCCUAAAGAUAUUUCUGAAUUGUUAUUGCAAACUCUUUGAAAAAGUUUCUAUAUAUUUUAUAAUUUCUUUAAAAAAGCUGUAAAAUCUUUUGAAAGAUCCUGAUGAGUGAUGAGAUUUUUUUUGAAUUUUUGUGCUUAAUGUUUUGGACGAAACUUGUAGGGGUGGUGGGAAAAGAUAGAGCCACUAGGGGCAUGGCCUUAGGUGUGGGUCGGUGCUUUCUAUAAUGUAGUCUAGCUAGUUCAAUCCUUUUAUUGAGUGGUUUUAGGUCUAGAUGUGUCAACCUCCACCCAUAAUCAGGGGUGGUUCCAGGACUCGAGCUGGGGGGUCGGGACCCGUGCAGAUUAUCCCCUUAGGACAGUUAAAUUUCUAUGAUCAGAAAAAAGGUCCAGCAGCCUAGUUCAUCCACGGACCACUCGGGACUUGGUCAAUUUCUAGGUACGCCACCGCUCCUAAUUGAUAUUAUUCAUGGAAGGAGAAGAAAACAACAUGCAACGAGUGUUCUUCGAAAAGCUUCGUUUCACUUAUUCUAGCAUUUUAUCUCGCUCCUUUCUCACCUGAAUUUGUGGCAAUCCGAUCUAUGCUAACAUCCAUGCAUGUUGUUAGGUUAGUGUACUACCAAUGAGUAAUGACACAUGCAUAUUUUGGAUCAUUUGCGGUAGUUACUGCUGUAAAUUAAAAUCAGGGGAGGGGUUUUAGAGUCAACAGAUACUCUAGAUCAAACUUAAGCCAUAGGUUUUCUAUCUAACGAUUGCGUAAUUCUUUGUGACAACCCUUCGAUAUCCCCAUCUAUUCUUGUUUUGGGUGAGCUUUUCGAAAAAAAAAAUGUUUGGGUGCACACAGGAUGGAUUGGGCCGGGCUGAUGACGAGCGACGACGACGAUUGGCGACCGUCGCACCUGUGUGAGACCACAGACACAGAGGAUCACCUCGGGCUCCGGCCUCCACACCGCUGCCGGCUAGCAGUCGGCUUCGUCCCCUUCCUCCCCUUUCUUAAACCUUCCGUACCCACUCGUCGGGGCUUCGCUCGUCUCCAGAGAUUUCGCCUGAAGAGAAGAAACCCACGAGGGAUCCGCAGAUGAAGAUAAUUCCGGUACCUUGCCUGGAGGACAACUAUGCCUACCUGUACGAAUCGGCCUCUGCGUCGCUUGUUUGCCCCUUUCCUUCAGCGAUUCGUUUGGAGUCAUUGAGUUUGAGUUCCUGAUCUGCUAUUUGUUUUAAUUCCUUUCCAAGAAUCGUGGACGAGAGCACCAAGAAGGCGGCGGCCGUUGACCCGGUGGAGCCGGAGAAGGUUCUCAAGGCUGCCAGCGAGGUCGGCGCCUACGUCGACUGCGUCCUCACCACCCACCACCACUGGUAUACCAUCGUCUCCUUCCAGCUCUCUUUGGGUUCAGUACUUGCUAGUGUUAGAGCAUCCUGAUUCUUGCUUGCUAGAGUUGUUGAACAUCAUCUUAUUACCAUAUUAGAGUUGGGGUCACAAAAGGGCUUCAUAUGUAGGCAUUUAUUACUAGCUAAUAGAUCCGGUUAGUGCCAGGGAUUGGUCCAGUCACAAACACUCAAUUAAUCCAGUUAUUACAUAAUUGCUGUAAGGGUUUGUGAGUGACUACAGAUAUGCACAUAGGAAUUCAAUAGAUGGACCUUCCCAACUUGCGAUUUUGCUAUUCUCUGAGUCUAAUUGCUACAUGGACCGUGGAAGUAGAAAACUAUUGUGUAAUACAUACCGUGUUGAAUGUUGUUUGCUGGUAAUGAAGUUCACAAAGUAUUUGCUAUUGCUAAAACGUCCUUGCAAAAAAAAACAAAGAAAGAAAGAAAGAAAAAAGGAAAGUAAGGUCUCAGGGAAUAUGCAGCUAGCAGCUUCUUGUUCACUAUGCUAUGUUGAAGAAUGCAAUUUUAAGGAAUGAAGAAACCAGCUUCCAGUCAGGAAAUGCGGUUGAUUAUGCAAUGGAAGUGCUUGACGUAUGUGAUGUGUUCUUGGGCUUAGUUGUUUUCCAUUCUUAGAGUAGUCUAUUUUCACUCUAAAUUUGCAACAUGCUGUUUAGACUGCUGGGGAGUAGGCUUUCUCAUCACUCAUCUGUGAUGUAACAUCUAGUGUGAAGUGUACUUAUGUGAUGCUUUCACCUCUUCAAUGGAAUGGGGGAUUUCUCCUGCUCCACUUCUAAAAAGUGCAAAUCGACUACAAUGUCAAAUAGGUAGUCAAAAAGGUCUAUGCUUUAAAAAUAAUUAUCGUGUGGCAGAAAGUACUCUGCGUGAACCAAAAAUGAACAGGUGUUGGUGAACUUCAUGGCAAUUUUCUACUAUAUUAUUAAUGGAUCGUGCAACUGAUUUUGUGCUUCUAGGGAUCAUGCUGGUGGCAAUGAGAAGAUGAGACUGCAGGUGCCAGGGAUAAAGGUCUAUGGAGGAUCCCUGGACAAUGUGAAAGGCUGCACUGAUCAGGUGGAGAAUGGAACAAAGUUGUCACUUGGGAAUGACAUUGAGAUACUAUGCCUACACACUCCUUGGUAUGCGAUUAACUAUGCUAUUCUCUUGGCCUAUUUCACUUCCCUAGCGUGCUUUUUUUUUCAGUACCAUAGAAACAGUCACUUCUUGAGUAAGGCUGAUUUAUUUACAAAAUUCAAACUACCAAAUAAGAGUCCUUUGAAAUUAUGAAUUUAGUAUAAUAUACAGCUCCUAGUUCACUUUAGAAAAAUUUAUAACUUUCUCCUUUUGAGGCUCUUUUAUAUCCAAGGAACCUGCAUCAAGGAGCGGCACAUACACGCUAUUAGUGUUACUUAAAAGACUUAGCUGAGCUCUGAUAAAUCCUCACGUGAAUUAUGCAUGGGAGUUUUAUUUGUGUUUGCUUAGUAGAAGCUUUUUGAUAAUUUUUUUUCUGGUCCCUGCCGUUUUGUUUCUUCAACAGUCACACAAAAGGUCAUAUUAGCUACUAUGCUACUAGUAAAGAGGGGGAAGAUCCAGUGGUCUUCACUGGAGACACUUUGGUUAGUAUAUGCACCUGACUUACUCUGAUGUCUCCUUUCAUCUUUAUAUCCUAACCUUUUUAUAAAUAAACACAGUUCAUUGCUGGUUGUGGGAGGUUUUUUGAGGGUACUGCAGAGCAAAUGUAUCAGUCCCUUAUUGUUACAUUGGGCUCGCUGCCAAAGUCAACUCAGGUUUACUGUGGGCAUGAGGUAUGAUCUCUUGUUUUCAUACCGGAUUCUUCCUGUCAUCCCAUAAUGCUAGGCUUUCAUCCUGGAGGAACCUGAAUGUCAUUGAAUCUGUAUUGUAUAUAAAUAACUAUGUUGUUCCUUUACCAUUUAGUAUGGAAUAUUUUAUUAUCAAUGACCGAAGGGCAUGUACAGUUUUACUUUGCAUUUUCUGGUUUGUUCUCUUAGGAAUAGGUAGUUUCUAGAUUGUCCAAUGAUUUAUCAGAUGUCUUCUAUAAUUGGUUGAAUGCCUUUUUAAUGCAUUUGUGUUCCCCAGAAUGGAAUCCAGUAGCAAUGGGAUAAUAUGAUGGAUUUAUGUUUUCUUGUGCCUCCUUUUGUUCCCUCUAAUAGAGGAGAAUUAUAGAUAUGUAGCAUAUACGUUCAUUUGUUGCUGGGCUCUUUGCUUUUCCAUUUCAUGUGCUAUCUUGAUAACAGAUGAUUUACAUGUGAGCUACUUGUUCAUGUUCUUUGUUAUUCCCAUUGUUGAAUUUCGACUUCCUUUUGAACUUCACUUGUAAAAGAUGCUGGAAACUUGAGUGAAAACAUGCAUCAUAACAGCCUUAACAAGAAGACAAUAACCACCAAUAUUCGAUCAUUUUGGUUUAUUUUCUUAAUAUGGUAUACUAAUUGGCUUGGUCGUAGAUACAUACUAUUUUCUUAGCAGUUGCAUGUUGACUUGCAGUACACUGUGAAGAGCCUAAAAUUCAUGCUGACACUCGAGCCGGAGAAUGAGAAGAUGAAACAGAAACUGGAAUGGGCUGAAAAGCAGCGUGAAGCAAAUCAGCCUACAGUCCCUUCAACUAUAGGAGAUGAGUUUGAGAUCAAUACCUUCAUGCGCGUUGAUCUACCAGAAAUACAGGUGAAUUUGCUAAUUGAAAAGCACUCAUUUUCUUGCAUUACUCUCCACGUCCAUGCACAGAAAUGGGUAACAUCGUGUAAAGUUGAAGAACACUUAGAAACUUAAUUCUCUUGCCAAUCCUAACUACUAGCAUUAGGAGUAAAAGAUUUUUGUUUGGAACAACUUCAUUUGGCAUGCCGGACAUUGGAGAUAGUAGCUUUACGUUUCUUUAAUUUAAAUGGAUGGUCUUUUAGUUUGCGAAUUGGUUUUUGAGUCGUCUUUGUAUCUUUUUUAAAAAAAAAUUUGUGGGUGUAGCAACGUGCUACUAUCUGUAAUAGUAGUGGACUGAUUCUCUUCUUUGAGGAGGUUGAAGCCGGAAUAUUAUCCAUUAUCUAAAAAAAAAUGAUUUUGCAGGCCAAGUUCGGUGCCAAGUCUCCGGUUGAAGCGCUGAGAGAGGUCAGGAAGAUCAAGGAUAACUGGAAAGGUUGAUACCCAUGCGGCCAUGCGGUUGCCACCACUCUGUUGGACGGCCAGCCUCUCAAAGUGAGCUAAUGCAGAAACCUUUGCCCUGUAGGUGGGAAUGAGAUUUACUGCCGUGCAAUGCUUUGACAGGUAUGGCGUGGGGAUGGAGAAGACUUGUAAUAAGCUCCGUGUUAAUAAAAACAAUAAUCAUGUUUCCCUUGUAACUCGUGGACUGUUUGCCAAGAGUAAUGCAUGAACUAUGUUACACUUUGACCUGCCCCUCUGCCAAACUUGAAAAAUCUGAAAGUUCUCUGAUGGGUAUAACUUGCCUACAUUACAUUUGAAGUUUAUGGAUCGCUGAUCAGUAGUGUGUUAAUCCAUUGCAAAAUGAAAUAUGGUAGCUAAAUCAUCAAAUUAUUAUGUAUCUUUCUUCAACUUGAAGACACAAGAUUCUGAUCGACAGAGACACGGAUGACAUAGGACGGCAACUACAGCCUACAGGUGACUUUUCAUUCACGAAAUUUUCUUCUUGCCGGCAGCAUUCGACGACGUCGAAGGCUUCGACUUCAGCUUGAACGGCUGCGCAGAAGAGCCGGCGAACUGGCCGAAGCCCAGCCGGCCGGGGACCAGCUUGGGCGGCGCGAACGGGCCGCACGCGGCGGCGGCCGCCGAUGGCUCGCUCGCGCCUCUCUUCUGCCCGGUCUCGGCCGCCGUCGCCGCGCCAACCCUCGCCCCGUCGGCAGCCCUGGUCGCCUGCCCCUGCCCAUCCUUUCUUGCGCUCUCCUCGCGCUCGCCUUCGCCGAACAUUUUCUUGGCCCUUUCCAAGAACGCGGCGGGCGUGCCCAUGAGCACGAAGAGCUUGAGCACCUCGUCCGUCUCCAGCUUGCACUCGGGCGCCGCCGCCGCCAGGUCGGCAGCCGACGGCGGUCGCGCUGGGGUCGCCUCCGGGGCGGCGGCGGCGGCUGCGCCCAGGGGACGCGGCGUCGGCGGGAGGAAGCCGGCGCCGGGAGCGAAGCCGUUCCAGCAUUGCGGCACGUGGCUGUGCCUGGCGCGCGCGACGCACUCGAGCGUCCUGAACUCGGCGGCCACGCGCGCCUUGAGCCCCGCGUGCCGCACGAACCCGUGCAGGCUGUUGCGAUACGUGUGCUCCUGCGGCAGCUGAACAAUUUGCAACAAGCUCACGUAGGUUUGGAUUUGAAUUUGAAUUUGAUCAUGAGAAGUUGUGAUCAUAAAAGUCACCCAUAUUCUCAACUACGAUUAAACAAGAGAAUAUAUGGCGAACUGAGCGUAGCUCAGCUGGUACUUGUGGUGGAACCUGACCAUCAGGGUUCGAGUGCUCGACUCAGCACUGAUGCUCGUAUAUUUCUGGAUUUAUUUCAGGAUUUAACCGGCGCUAUUCUUUCAGUGGUAGGCGGCAGCGACAGCGAGGCGCUAGUGGUGACUUUAUCAAUCUCGAGGAUUUGUCGGCUCAGUCUUUCGAAGGUGGUCAUAAGGGUAGGGUUGCGUGCGUGUAUGUGAGUAUCUGCAUCUGUAAUGCGUGAUCCGAAAAAAAAAUAUAUGAACUCAUUUGGAACACAGGUGAUCGAGCGGGUCUUACACUAUUGAAGGUAACGUGCCGGCCUUGGAAGACAGGCCUCGCCAUGGUUCGCCAGCCUUGAUCGGCGCCAGCACCUUCAUUGUACGUGAGCCUCCUUCGCGCCACCACGCUGGCGCCGGCAGCGCCCGCCGUCGUUGCUGCAUCUCCGGCGAACUACGUCUCAGCUUACAUUUAAACGUUCUGAAACAGCGCUGGCUUACGCCUUCAUACCUUUUCUCGCCUUCUUUCCCGGCGCCGUGCCCUUGCUCUCCUUGGCGCCUCGCUGCCUUGCUCUCUGGUUCUCCGGGGUGUUGCCGCCGGCGCCGGCGCUAGCGUUCUCCUGCUUCUUCGUCUCGGCGGCGCUCUUCUUCCUCGGCGUGGUGGCGGGCAGCUGCGAUGGCGUAGCAGCUGCGUGGCGUGGUGGACCCCUGUUGCCCACCUCUCUUCCCUCCGGCGUGAUCGGCUGCUGCAGCUGGUCUAGGUACCUCUUGCGCCAUGCCGCGAGCUCCGUCUCCGAGAACAUCUGGUUGUUCUUCAGGGACAUGAACACUUGCUUGGCUUGAUCUAGCAGUGACAUCGCCUGCACAGAUCCAAGGAAACAUUGCUCCUGGAUUAAUACAAUGUGAAGGCAAAUGAUAACCUUUGUUGCCGUGCAUUGAUGCAUACCUCUCUGAAAGGCACGGUGUUCUGGCUGUUCAUCGUUAUUGCUCUCUGGAACACCAUGUAAACAUCGUUCUGCGAUCGUAUAGAGAAUGAAGAUCAUGAACAAUCCAAGGAUGGAACAUAAAACUGUAAAACAAAGGACAAAGAGGGUCAAGUGCGCUAAGAAACUGACCUCAAAUUGCUCUAGUGCCGUGUACAUGCCAUCUUUGUUCUUCUGCCUCAGUGUAGCAAAGUCACCGGGCCUGCUCACUCUCUCUGCAUAGUCAGUCACCUGCACUAACAUGUCGAUGUUUCAGUCUGUCGCAUGAAACAAGAAACAGGUGCAUUAAAAAAAAAAAGAGUUUCAGCCUUUCGAUCUAUCUACACAAAUAAUUCAGAUGCAUCGCAUCAUUUCUCGCCUGGAUGUCAUCUGGCAUCGCAAACAACUCAUGCCGAUCUCUCCUGCAAAGAGAUUAAGAUACAUGCACAUAUAUAUAAAUCUCAAUAUGUAACAGGAAACAAGGUGACGCCUGAUGGACAAGCAAAAAGAAGAGAGAGCGCAAAGCUUACAGCUCCAAUUCGUCAAGGAUAUACUCGAUGAUUUGCCCAACUGAGCUUUGGCUUGUUGAGUUAUCUGGAAUGAAACCAAAAGACAUUCACAUGUCUCCUACAAUCAGCCCGGCAAUACUGAGGUAACAAAAGAAAAAAAAACAACGUACUGCUCUUCGCUGCAUCUAAUGGUUGUUGGUGGCUACAUGAGGCUUCUCCCUGCAACUGCUGAAAAAUCACCCGGCAGAUGAGAACCAGGAAAAGGACAUAUGAAGAGAGCUGGAAGCACCCAAUGGCUUCACAAUUUACCUGGGUUUCUUCAUUCCUUUUUCUCUUCCCUCGCGCGCUCGAACCGGAAAUGCUGUUCCGGAUUAUUUGCCAAGGAUCAAGGAGGCAGACGCCGGCGGAGUCGCCGUCGUUCUUCUCCUCUUCCAGCUUCAACAAUCUAGCGCUUCGCCUCUUCCCUUUUCCAGACAUCUCCGGUACCUGUUCUUCUUCCUCGCUGCUUUGAACAAAAACAAGGGACGGAGAGGCUGUGUUGAUGGCAAUGCAUCUGCAUUAAGCUUCCGUGCUCUUAUGUUGCAAGACAGAGAAGGUUUCAAUUUUACAGCUGGUAGCUCGUGUGUGUGAGUUUUCAUCCUCAGAUGGAAACUUUUACUGGACAAAAGAGGCAACGGAAUGCCAUGAUAUUCUAGGUCUUUUAAGGCCUGCAGUUUUGGAAUGACAGAUUAUAGAUAGGAGGAAUGCAGCAAAAGCUGUGAGGAGUGAUGACCCGGAGCUGAAUGUGAGGAGUAUCCCAAAUAUUAACUUUGGAUCACAAGACUAUUUCGAGCAUGGUUGUAAGGGCAAGCCCAACGCAAGCACACAAUACUAGUAGCCCCAUGAAAAAGUUGUAUUCCACAUAAGCACUGAAAUUUUAAGAUCUUCAAGCACCCAAUGCAGGCCACUCUUACUUUUUCUACCAUGACCCUACUCAUCUUGUUUCUCUCCUCCCAAGUUAGCUUUUUCUCGGUGCUUUUCCUCUCUCACAACAGCCACAGCGAUUGCUUUUUAAUCCCAAGCCACUGCACCUUCUGCAGGGUGCACUGACAGACUGCAAGCGCCCAAACCGUUUGAGCUGGACAUUUGUGUCAGGCGGGUAAACUUGAGGCUACCAGCCACGUCGGAGCGUUGGGCCUGCUCUAAGAGCUUUUGUGAGCAUUUCUCUUGCACAGAAUUGGAAUCUUAGGAGAAGAUUAUUGGAUAGGCAAGAGUAGUGACUACACCAAGUAGCAUUCCAAUGCGUCAGGGUAAGAAACAGUUGGCCUCAUGGCCACAGUACAUGAACAGCUGUGCACUGAGGUGUUACGGCAGGUUAUGGUCUGGUUUAACUCGAAUUAAAUGGCCCUUAACCAUCAUGAAUCACCACCAUUUCACUUGCUAGAUACAAUGCACAGGUUGCGUGAUACUGCGCCGGGGUUCUACGUAGCAUAGUUGCCAUCUGUAGGUAUUCUAAUUUGUUGCGAUGCUGACUUGCAGCUUUUGCUGGGUGCAAGAGGAAUGAACUUGCACACGUUUGCAAAUCCAAAUAGAGCACAAUCUGCUAGAGGGGGGAAAGGAACUGUAACAAUGUCUAUUUGUAUAGGCAUGUGGAAGCCAAGCUUGAGAAACUGGAAACAUGAACAAUACCAGAACAGGAAGGUAACAACGACCAGCCUGGCUGUCGGCGGUAUAACAGCCAAAGUUGCUACUAGGGUGUUUGAAUUUGACUGCAUGACAAGCAAACAUUUCCCACAAUCCAAACGCCACCUUACGAGAAAUUACUUUUUUUUUUGGGCACGCAUGUUGUAGUAGCAAGAAACGAUAUUAUAACUGCAACACGUGUACACAGUAACAUCAUCUAUACCAAAAUGGUAACUGAGCUGAGACAACUAAAUAUUUACUAGGCUUAUUCCUUGUGAUACAGAAAUGUUACAUUGCCAUGAAAAAACUGUAGGGAUUGUCUAUAUAAUCCCAAAGGAGAAAUGUUAAUCGCCCAGGCUAUCUUGGAGUGGAUCUCUCUCUCCUAAACUGUAAGUUUAUGUCCUCGCAUAUCUAAAAUCCUACUCCAUUUACAAGGCGCAGAUAAGUUGAAACCUGCACCCUCUCAGUUGUGAAUCUGUUUCCCCUUGCAAAAAGGAAAGUUAUACACCGGCAAUCAAACCUGCAGGGUAACUGCUGCAGGGUCAACAGCAUCACUGUUGUUCUGUUGGAACCACAAUUCUGCGUAACGCCCACCCUUUGAAAGAAGAACGUCAUGUGGUCCUUGUUCUACUACCUUCCCAUUCUCCAAAACAAUUAUCUGAAAAUUCAAAUUUGUAACAGGACUCAUCAACAUAUCAGAGAAAAGAUGAAACCAACAACCAUUCACCACUCUAGAGUGCACUGGAAGGUUUUGAAAUUCAAAUAUAUGGUCUGGAAAACUUGAACAGGACUCAUCAAAAUAUCAGAGAAAAGAUGAGACCAACAAGCAUUGCACAACUCUACGUGCACUGGGAGGCUGCAAAAUAGAUGAGUUCGACGAAUACUGAGGUUUCUUUGAGAAGUUGCAAAAGCAUACCUGAUCACACUGCAUUGCAGUUGUGAGUCGAUGAGCAAUAAAGAUUGAUGUUCGGUCAACAGAUAACGACUUCAGAGAAUUCAAAAUUGAGGCUUCAGUAGUGCUAUCAAGAGCACUUGUUGCUUCAUCACAUAACCUGACAUAGUUCAGAAGAAAAAAUAUCAAGACAAAAGGGCAUCGAAUAAGCCUAUUAUUUGUAAAAACGUUUACUAUGAGUAAUCUGAAAUUAGUUUAAAUACAUUCAGCAGGGCCAACUUUGACAUAGCACGCGACUAUGUGAGCUCUCACAAAAGCACAUAAACAGAGGUCAUAACUGAGUGGCUACCUUAAACACAUUCCUCAAGUCAUUGAGAUCCAAAUGAAAAAAGGAGUAACGAAAAGCAAGGGGUACUCACAGAAUGGAGGGCUCCUUCAAGAAUACGCGAGCUAUCGACACUCGUUGUUUCUCCCCACCACUUAGCUGCAACAAGAAAACCACAAUUUAUUAGAUAUUUUGUCUGUAGAACAACAGCUUACACCAUUUCUUCAUCUGGCACAUUACAAUAUACUGUCUCACCUUCAAUCCUCGUUCUCCUACUACUGUGUCAUACUUGUCUGGGAAGUUCAUAAUUGUAUCAUGAAUAGCAGCACGUCGGGCAGCAUCAUAGACCUGUAUGGAAACAAACUGUAACAUUCCAAAACAAAACAUAUAAUCAUGCUAUAUGCACUUCAGAAUGUCUUGGAAGAAAAUAGGUACCUCCUCAUCUUUUGCUGAUAAACGUCCAUACUGUAUAUUAUGCUUAAUCGUGUCGUUAAAAAGUACCUGCAUUCAUGUUUAUAAUGUGAGAUUGGCUAGUUGGCUGGCCUUGUAACAGUGAUAAUUAGCAUAUGUUAACAUGAAUAUACUAUAGACACAAUUCCCUGAAAAUGUGUUAAAUAGAAAACCCUCAAUAUAGCUAGUGAUCCACUACGUUGAAGAAAGAUGCAUAAGGACACCAGAAAAUUAUUCAGUGACUAUUGCAUUUCUCUUGUACUAAAUAAAUCCACAAUCCAGAAUUCCAGUAAUGUAGCUUUACUAUUUUUUUCUCUAACUAAAUUGGAGUAUUGGACUAAUUGUUUGAAUGUAAAAAAAAUAAUCAAAAGAUGUUCACAAAUGAUAGUUAGCAGAAGCCAGAUUAUACAACAGAACUUGAAGAAAUGCAAAUGCCCACAUUCCUCUAUAGUUUGAAAACUGCAGCAUUGACAAAUGUAUAUCAGAAGGCUUUACCGUGUCCUGAGGUACAACACCAAGAUGUUUUCGAAGGCUCUCUAGUGUCACUCCUCGGAUAUCUUGCCCAUCAAUUCGUAUCUGCCAGCAGAAAAAAUCACAUGAAUAAACCAUGAGAUGGGCAUCGGUUAGAUUAACAUGAAAUUAGAAAGGAGAUUGAUGCUUCUAUAUCCUUACAGAUCCUGAAGUUGAAUCAAAAAAUCUGAACAGAAGCCUAAGAAUAGUUGAUUUCCCUGCAUAAGAAAGGUGCAGUUAAGGAACCCCUGAGUGAUGCUCAUAAAGAACACAAAUUCACUAACAGAAGUUCUAAGACCCCACACUAAAGCACAAAACAAGAUAUUCCCAUUAUUACACAAAACAAUUCACCGCUACCAGUUGUUAAUCACUGUCGACAAGAUUUAUGAUAGAAAUCUCAAACAGAUAAAAUAUAGAACCAUGCCAGUUGAUUAUUAACUAACAGUAGUUAGGUAUCAAAAUGGACAUUGGUUUCAACAUCGUUUUAGAGAAGAAGCUUAGCUAUAACUUGCUGAACACUAGCUGGGAGUUGCUAGUUUUGGCAGUGAGCAUAUAGAGAAGAUAGACCAAGCACGAACCAAAAAUAUGUGCACAUCCCCAAUGUUAGUAACAUGCAUCAACUGCUGGAAACCCCCGUGCCCUUCACCAUGAACACAAGGGGUGGACGAACCAGUAUUAGUCAAUGCUUAGUUUAUACUGUGUCAUGUCCAGCCCAUUUGGGCCCAUGUGAUGGAUGAAGCAGCAGCAGACCUCCCUAGGGCUGGCGCACUGUUCACUACAUAACUGUUCAGGGUGGGUUUGUUGCAUUAGAGAUUAGAUGAGAUCAGAUUGAGUUGUUAUCAUGACAUACUGUUUCAGUGCUGAUAAAAUAUAUGAAGACAUUUAUACUGGACAGUUCUGGUAAUCCAAAAAGAGGUCCAGUUUGUGGUUGACUUGUGUUUAACAUUUGAAGAUGUUAAAAAGAUGGAAAAUACUGUAGUUUAAUUGGAAAGUAAAAUAAUGUUAGCUAAUUCUGCGGCCCAACUAUUGUAUGUCAUAAUUGUCUUGUAGUUUGACAAACAACAUCGCCAUUUGCAACUUAGAUUAGAAGCAAAAUAGUUGAUCCGAACACCAAAAUUUUGAAGAUUUCCAUCAAACAAGAUUAUCAUGAUCCACCUCAACACCAAGUGAAGUCUAAUAAAUACUAUCUUUUGUGGCCAACUAUGAAUAUUAUAACCCAAAAUCACAUCAACUCAAUACCAGAACUCCUGUGCAACAGUAGCAGCAAACUAACGAGUUCAUUAAGAAAAUAAAAACAGGGUUCUCGGCUCUAGGUAUAACGUGAACAUAUCUUAAGCAAUAGAAACCUUCAAAUUUUGUUCGGUCACAAAAGCAUUAGGUAUUUUUUGAUAAAUAAAAAAGAUAGUUUACCACUGCCACUAGUUCCGACAAUGGCAAUGCUCUGUCCUGCAGGUACAGUGAAGGUGGCACCAUCAAGAAUCUUCCUUUCUGGUACAUACCUGGAAGAAAUCAAAUCAUUCACUGAAUCAUAUAUAAAUACAUCACUAUGUCAGUUUACUCUAGUUUACAGCAUAUACAAAACAGGAAAACACCUUCAAUGGGUAUCUCAAUAUUCUAUCUAAAUUAUUAUUGCUAGUUAUAAUACAAUACAAGUCUACAACACACAUGAAAAAUAACUUGUUUCUGGUAAAUUAGAAACUAAAGUUUGUAGGUUGUGUGUGCACUAAUAUGUUCUUGUAUUGACAUCUGCCUAUCUGAUAAAUGAUAUUUACUAAGAUGACUUAUGCAAAGGACUUUGUUAGAAACAAACAGGUGACAUUUCACAAGUUUGACCUUUUAAGUGACUACAACAGAGACUAUAAACAUAGGAAUAAAAAUAUUUAGCUCACCAAAUGGUAGUUUGAUCGCUAUAAUAUCAGGUGUCAAAUAGGUUUCAGCAAGGAAAUAUUCACUCACAGUAAUACUUCCAUAUUUUUCCAAAAAAAAGUAAUGGUUAGAAGAAAAUAAGUGCAUUGGUGCUAGUUGUUUGAGACUUGCAUAGUCUUUUUCAGAAAGAAUAUAAGCACUUUGCUACGCUCAACAAGUUAUUAAAGAACAAAACUUACCCAAAAUGAACAUUCUCGAAUUCAAUGCAUCCUCCCUUGAACUGCAAAGGUUGUGCAUGAGGCUCAUCCUUUAUUCCAGGUUUUUCCUAAGAAAAAUGAAACAACGAUUAGGAAGUAUCAGAGAGCAAUGUUUAAGAAUGAAACUAAAACUACAGGCCCUUAGACAUUCGACAAUUUAACUACCAAACUUUACCUCCAGCAACUGAAACAUAGACUUCAUGUCAAUGAGGCUUUGUCUAGAUUCUCGAUACACACUCCCAAGGAAGUUUAGAGGCAAUGAAAGCUGGAAUAGAAGUCCAUUAACCAUGACCUGCCAAGGAUUCACCACAUUAAUCAAAAGCAACUAGCAAAUGACUAGAGAUUAGUGUGUUCGAGGAAAAAAAGACUAGAGACAAAAUUGGCAACAACUGAAGCCAUAUAAAAUCAUGGUUCAAUUAAACAUUGGUUCUUGUUAAAAACAUAUUAAUAUAGCUCGUAAUUCAUUUUUAUUUAUCACAAUUUCAAAUCUUGCAGUCAUCCUGUGAUACGGAUGAGUUACUAACCAUACCAAAGUGUGAGACAUGAAAUGUCAACACUAGAUGAUAUAAGAAACAAACAGACAAUGGAUGGGAUAAAUAGUUACCAAAUCACCCACAGUAAGAGCACCACUCAUUACUCCAUAUGAGCUCAAAACCAUUGCUGUAGAUAAAGCCGAGCUAAAGAUAACAUUUUGACCAAAGUUCAGGUAGGCAAGGCUACUUUGGGUCUUCAAUGCAGCAUCCUCAUAAUCUGGCCACGUGGUAAUAAAAAUAGUUAAUAGAUCAGAUCCCUUAAACAAAAUCAACUUAUGAUGUGUGUCAGUGUUUAAGAACUUUUAAAAUAGUCUACAGAUCAUCUCUUUAACAAAAUAGUCAGCUGGGAUUCAUCAAAUCUAUGAAACAUAACUUAAUGUCCUAUUUAAGCACUUUUAAAACAAAUUCUACAUUCUGAACCCUUAGUUUUCAUGAAAAAGACCAAGUCAAUAAUUCAAUUAUAAUCCUUGUUACCUUUGGGGAGCACAUUCAACAUAUCAAGAUGCAAUUGAUUCACAUCAAUAAUUAUCCCCUUUGUAUCUCCCAAAUUCCCAAACUUUUGCAAACUAUUUUUUAGGGGACUUCUGUAAAAUAUUUUAGGGAAUGCUGAAAUUAAUGUUUGAAGGAACAUCUGGUUGUGCACAUCUACUCUACAAUGACAUUUCAACCAAGAAGAAAGACGUAUAUGCACUCACUCCUUAAAUAUUUGUCGUACUUCGCAACUUCAAAUUGUUCGUUGUUGAAGUACUUCACAGUCUGUACACAAUCAAAGAAAGAUCAAUAAUUUGUUACAACUAGAAUAAAGAAGGUAAAAUGGAGAAAACGGAGUAAUGGACAUGAGGUGACCUCAUAAUUCAGAAGAGAGUCAACUGCCACUGUACUGGAAGCAUUAUCAGCUUUAUUCAUGGCUGUCCUGAACUUAGUCCGCCACUAUAAUAAUAUUUAAAAAAACAAAAGGGGACCAGUGACAAACAGAGUAAAACAUAAUUAGACUUCACAUGACGACAUCAUUUGAAAGAUAAAUUGAACAGUUGAGACAACAAGGAUAUCUUGAGAGAUCCAAUGCUAUAGAAUUGUGUUUGCACCUGUGUGACAGCCAAAGUGAAAGCUAUAUAGGUAGCAACUGAAACUGAAGUAAUCCAAGCAAAAGUGGAACCAAACUUGUAAGCAAGUAUGCUUGACACCAUACCAAUCUGUAAAUGAGAACCAAAAUCACAAGGCUGAGGUAACAGAAAAGCCCAAAAAAUAAAUGCCAUAUAUUUCUGAAGUGAAACAAAAUCUCAGGCAAUAUGCAUAACUAAUGGACUGUACAUUUACACGAUAAUUUAUAAGUACCUCUAGUAUUGUGGGCACAACAUUGAACACCAUCACUGUGAGAAUGUAAUUUAUUGCACGGCUGCCUCGAUCAAUUAUGCGAUUUAGAGCACCAGUUUGCCGGCUAGAAACAAAGAAGCAGGUAAGAAGCAUAAGAAAAAUUUCAAAUAUUCUCCACCUCGUACAUAUCAACGCUAAAAAAUUUACUCCCUCCGGUCAUGAUAAAAUGACUUUAGGACAGCAAAACUAAACUCGCUCCGGUCAUGAUAACAUGACAAUAGGACAGUAAAACUAAACUCCUCUGGUCAUGAUAACAUGACUUUAGGACAGCAAAACUAAACUCCUCCGGUCAUGACAACAUGACGUUAGGACAGCAAAACUAAACUAAGUUUAGUUCAAUUUUGCUGUCCAAACAUCAUUUUAUCAUGAUUGGAGGGAGGGAGUAUAUAUAUAAUAAACAUUGCUGAAUUCUUAUGACUUGUUUCCACAGAUAUCUACCUAGUCCCUUCCUCACUGUGAGUAAAUGGGACUAUUGUUACGAAAAUAGUGCAGUCCACUCACUAGAGAUUUUGUCACUUCCAACAAACAUUGUCAAUUUCAUACUAGUAGUCAAGCAGUCAAGUUAUCUAAUUCUCUGAUGUUAUCUGCAUAACCCUCUACUUACUUUUGAGUUAUGAUGUUUUUCCAAAUAUACCACGAGUUAAAUAGAUGAUUUAUUCCUUACAGAGACUGAGAAAAUUAGUAGAAUGACCAUUUCCUACAAGUACCUUAGAUGAUAACGAAGAUCAAGCUCAUGCAAGUGAGAAAAUACCUGCAAUACCAAGAGAUCACGAAUUAAGGCAAUCAUAAUUUUAACAUUUAAUUAUUUGGUCCACAUCAAUAAUAGAAAAUAAUCAGACGUAUAUGAUGCCUGAGAUAGAUCAAAGGAUGCUGCUUCAAUUAUGUUUCUAACAUUUGGAAGUCUUCAAAACAUCUUCAUUUUUUCAACAUACAAGUAUCAGAACAAUAACAUGCUCAUCACUCAACCAACAACUGGAAGUAACAGUAGUUAUCCAUGAAUACGGAAAUAUAUAGGAGAACUCUGCAUAGCAAGAUACUUUGUUCCAGAAAAGAUUCAUAUUGCGUUGGAACAUCUGGGCAGUUACACACUACAGCAUGGAAAGAAAACAAUAAGUUCCAAUAUUUACCAUUCUGGAUACUGAACGGAUGGCUCUCAAGGUCACUUUAGAAAAUAAAGCAUUUCGCAGUUCUGGCAACAAAGAAAUGACCAUUUUAGGGACGGAAAAGGUAGUCAUUUGUGUUCCAAGAGGAGGAACAAAGAAGGGUAUCCAGGAAUGCUUGAGAAAGUGUUUACCUGUACAGGCCGACACUCCUGAUCGUGCAAUUCCAUAACCAAUCAACACAGCUGCUGGGCUUGCAAAGAGAGCCAAUAGGGUGGCGUUAGUUUCCGUGAACGAUGCCAGUGAGGCUUCAGCACCACCAAGGGCUGCAAGCCAAUCGAUAGCGAGCUUAAACAAGAAAGGCACUUGAACAUUUAUAACCUGGUGUUCAUAUCAAAUACAAAAGGUCGGGUAAGAAAGUUGAAAGUUUCAUGUAAUAACUUCCAUAUUUUUAGUUCAACCUGUUUUAUCUAUCCCGAUUAAAAGGGCACUGUUCUCCCUCUUAUUCCACAUCGAUGAUAUGUGGCAAUUGUGCCCUUGUUUGACUAUGAACCAAGCUGAAGUAAAGGAUUCGGUAAAAGGAAAGUUUGAGAUGCACAUCCAACAAAUGAACCGCAUCUUAUAAAUUACCAAAGUUACAUCACAAUAGGACAAAUGCUGAAGUAAGUCUUUUUCAUAAAGGAAAAGAAGUUUCAAUGUAGCGUGAGUAGUGAAAAUGCACCAGGAAAGCAAUGGGAAUAUUGAUCUUGAGCCUACAACAUGAUGGUCAAUGCUGACUUUUAUUAGAAAAGGCAGCCAAAUGGGUAGUUUGCUCAUUAAUGCCUCUGAUAAAAGAAACAAAAGGCUUCCUAAACAUGAGCAGUGCAAUAUCAAACCACAUAUGCCUUAAUGCAGGUUACCGUUUUCAAACAAGUACUCCCUCAGCUUUCAAAUAUAUGUCCACCUAGCCUUUCUUAUUCUUCUACAAACAUAAGUCCAAACCAUAGAUUCAUUUUAUCAUCAACCUUAAUCUGUGCAUAAGUCCACAGACUUACAUUUGAAUUGGAGGGAGUAGCUUUACCUUUGCACCAACUAAUAGGCCUAAUGACAACACAAGCCUGAAGCGGAAGUCAGGGCUGUCAUUCAACAAUAAGUACUUCCCAAGGUUUUUCAGUAUCUGAGAAUCUGCUAUCUGCUCAUCGACAUCCUUUUUUGAAGCAUCUUUCGGGACCUUGUCAACCGGCUUCCCAGCUGUCACAGCAUUGGCAGAUGUGGAGAAUGCAUGUACUCUCUGCAUAUAUAGCAAGAAUCACAAAAUAAGAAUUAGAAAAACAUUCCUUUUAUUUAGAAAGACAACAGAAAAAAAAACCAGCAAUUUGCCCCUUAGACCAACCGUGAGAAACUACAAAUUGUUUGGAUGGAAUUAAUACCGCGCAAAUAUAAAAUUAGGUGUGAUACUCCUUUUUCUCUGCAUGAAAUUUGCACUUGUUUAGUGCCUUGAUGGACUAAACACAAAUAUAUCAUCAUAAGCACCUCAAUACAGAUUACUUUAUAGAAGCAAAGCUGCUAAGGAAACACUAUUACUUUUUCCCUUUGUUUUACUACCAAUAUUUCACUUGUCACUAGGCCUACUUCAACAUAUGUAUUGUGCCUAGAGAAAAUGCUAACACCCACUACUGCCUCUAAACAUCCCAUAAUCCAACCAAUCACAAAUGUGGAAGUACAGAUUACCGUGUCUCGGGUAAGCCGCGCGCCGUGCGGCGGGUAGGUAGAGUCCGGCAGGAAGCUGCCGAGGCGGCCGAAGGGACCCCCAUUCCCGGGCGGGACACCACAGUUAGGUCCGAAUCCUCCGAGGAAAGGGCUGAAGAGAGGUUUCGGCACGCCCGGCCUGUUGGCUCCGUUCAGCCGCCGGAAUCCGGCGGCGGCAGGGGCGGCGGUCUGGGGGUUAAACCGGGAGCCGCGGAGGAGGUUCCCCGCCGCUAGUAUGCGGGACGAAGGCCGCAUGGCGCUUGCCGGCGGCGGCGGUGGCCGUGAUGGGUAGGGUCAGCGGACGAAAGCGUGGAGGCGGAGUUGGACUGCCAGUGGCGAAUAGGGUCUUUUCUUCCUCUUUUCUUUUGUUUUCCAAAUGGAGCUCAGUUAUUCCCAUUUAACACUUUUCCUUUUUCUUUUGCGUCAUGGUGUUUAAAACAGGACGAUUCAUUGUACCUAGUCAGAUUUGUGAUGUGAGUCAGAUUUUAGUACCAAAUGACCUUACUAUACUAGCCUUAAAAAGCUGGCAUUCAUAUGGUAUUUGUCCAAAUUCGAUGGUCCAGUUUACAUUGUAGUAGCUCUUGCAAAAAGUGAUGAGACUUUGACAAAUCAACUCCUUCGACAAAAUGCAUGUUCGCUUCAGCUUAUAAACCGGCUGAAAAGCUGAAAUAGCUGAUUUGUUGUGAGAGGAAAAUACUGUUUGAUGGCUGAUAAACUGGCUGGAUAAGCUGAAGCGAACAUACCCAUAGUGACCAUUCAUAGGGACAGAUUGAGAGCAAACGAAACAAGCACACUGUUCAUUUUUCUUUGACGAUAGCAAACAAUUGCACCUUUGCCAUAUUAGGAUAGAAAUAGCGUGUAUCCUAAGCGAUGCAAUUAUGGUUAAAUCAAGUAGCAUACAGCUUCCUCCGUUCCAAAUUUUAGAUCAUUUUAGUUUUUUUAGUUUCAUAAAUAUUAUUAUAUAUCUAGAUAUAAUGUAUGUCUAGGUGCAUAAUAAGAUCUAUAAAUCUAGAAAAGUAGAAAGGACUACGACGAGUUGGCAACGUGUAUAUAGCUUAGAUAAAAUGUGCACUACACAACAUGUGCAUAGCAAAAAUUAUAUUUAGAUAAUUUGAAACGAAGGAAAGUAUUAUUUAUAGGAUUUAACCGUAAUGAAUGCAUUUUUAGGAAUUGAUCAUAUCAAACGCCUAGGACAUACUCUCUCCGUUCCAGAAUAUAGCUACGUUUAGACUUUUUUCAAAUCAAAUAUUUUCAACUUUAACGACAAAUAGAGAAACAAUCAAAGAGACUAAUAGUAUAAAAAUUAUGUCAAAAAUUAUGUCAAUAGAUUUAUCAUGAAAUCAACUAUUAUAAUAUGUAAUUUUUUUAUUUGAAAUAAAUUAUUUUUAAAGGUAUUAUUGGUCAAAGUUAAAAAGAUUUAAUUUUUGAAAAAACUAAACGUAGGACGGAAUACAAAGCUCCAAAGCGCACCAGCCAAAAAAAAGUCACAACACAACGGCGUGACACGUUCGAACGAACCGUCGAACUCUGACUGCAACCAAUCACGGGCGUACAGGUCCAGUUGCAAGACGUAAGGAAUGGAACAGUGCAGAACGAAUAUUGGUCAGCCAGGACGAUUAAAAAAACAGAGAGAAAAGGGUAAUUUCAGCCGCUGACGUUCUAAACAAGUAAACAUUGCGCUCUGACUUUCACUUGGUCCCGGGCACGGGCAGACGGUUGCGCAGAAUUUGAGCCACAGCUUAGGUACUAUCUGUGUGGCAGCUACGGUCUGUUCGAGCCAUAGACGAAAGUUUCGUGCGGCGUAGCAUGCGGCAUGUCCAAUACCCUUUCGCUCCUCGCCACACAAAACGGCAGCUAUCCUAUCGAAUUCGAACCCAAAUACAAUAGCACCAAGCCCACUUGAGCAGCAAGCACGAUGAAUCUUCUACUGCCGGCCGUAUCUCACGUUUUGUUUUGUGCGACAACUACUCGCUCGUAUCAGCGAACCUUUUUUGGGGGGAGUGACUACCCAUCAUCCGGGUGAUUUAGGGGGUGUUUGGGAGCACUCCACUCCACAAAAAAUUGCUCCACUCCACCAACUCUAAAAAACUCGCAGCCAAACGCGUCUAGCUCCAGCAACUCCGGCUCCAAGAAAAAGGUGGAGCAGGGGGUAGAUCCACGUUUUUUGUGGAGUACCUCAAGAGGUGCUCCAAAAACUCCAUCUACAGACCUCCUCGUGGAGUUGGUGGGUAUUUACCCACCAUUGCCACUCUUUACACAUGGUACCGGUUCGGGAAAGGGAAACAAAAGAUGCUCCCGUCGCACUCUCCACCGCGCCGCCCGGCCGGCCGUUGCCGCCCGGCCGGCCGCCGCCGCCGCCCGCCCCGGCCCCGCCCGCCCCGCCGCGCCGCCCGCCCCGACCCCGCCCGCCCCGCCGCCGUCGCGCGCCCGCGCCGCCCCGGCCACCGUCGCGUGCCCGCACCGCCCCGGCCGCUGUCACGCGCCCGUCCCCGGCCGCGGCGGCCGCCCGCCCGGCCGCCGUCGCGCGCCCGUCCCCAGCCGCCGUCGCGCGCCCGUCCCCAGCCGCGGCGGCCGCGCGCCCGCGCCGCCCGCCCGGCCGCGGCGGCCGCGCGCCCGCGCCGGCCGCGGCAGCCGCCCGCCGCGCGCCCGCGCCGCCCGCCCGGCCGCGGCGGCCGCGCGCCCGCGCCGGCCGCGGCGGCCGCCCGCGGCGCGCCCGUCCCCGGCCGCGGCGGCCGCCCGCCGCGCGCCCACGCCGCCCGCCCGGCCGCCGUCGCGCGCCCGUCCCCGGCUGUGGCGGCCGCCCGCGGCGCGCCCGCGCCGCCCGCCCGGCCGCCGUCGCGCGCCCGUCCCCGGCCGCGGCAGCCGCCCGCCGCGCGCCCGGCCGCCGUGUAGAUGACUCCGUGCUGCUGCUCUUGCGAUGUGCAAACAGGAAGAAAGAUGAAUUGCUUGCUCGUGUAGAUGAGAUGGUGUUUGAGUUGUGAUUGGUUCUCGUCGUCAUUUCUGAUUGAUGAUCAAGAUUGUUCUACAUUUCGCAUGAUAAUUUCUUGUAAUAUAUGUAGCAUUGUUUAAAACUGAGAAGAGGAGAGAGAGGAAGAAGAGAGGAGAAAAUAGAAGAGUAUGACAUGUGGGUCCGUUCACAAAGGGUAAAAUAGACUAUUCACAACAAGUGCUCAUGUUUUUGGAGCUGGAGCACUGCCAUCAGCCAAACACGUGCAGCAGCUCCAUGUUUUUUUGGAGUUGGUGGAGUGGAGCUAGGAAAAUGUGGAGCUGGUGGAGUGGAGCUGGUUUUUCUGGAGUGGAGUGCUCCCAAACAGGCCCUUAAUCUUCAAUUAUCAACCACUUUGGACCAAUAAGAGUAUGCCACGUCAUUCGUACAAGAGAUAUUAAACCCGAGUGACACUGCCAUGUAUUUCAAUCAAAAGAAAUGAACAUAGCACAUCUUAAAACUGACUGAAAAAGAUAUAGAAAUCACUCAGAUUUCUAUCAACUUGGAAUCCUUCCUUUCAGAAACAGAAGAGCUCACGUUUCUUCACUUGACCUUGUCUCUCAACCAAACAAAAUCACAUCUGCGUGACUUGGUGGAGAAGAACAACAGCAAAACCUUGAGAAAUCAUGCGCGCCUCGCGUCUGACCUUGCAGAGGGCAACGAUGAAGAUGAAGGGAAAAGCUAAAGCCAACCAGAAUGCAUGACCAUCAGAAGAAGGAGAAGAUCAACAUGAAUUGAUCAAGGUACUGAGUACUGACAUUUGAUCUUGCUCUGUGAUCUCUUUCUUAUGAGAGAAGGAAAAAUGUCUGCUGGUUGAUCCUGGAUAAAAUAAUGAAGAAUUUAGAGUAAGAUCUCUCUGGUGUUUGUUGCAGGCAGUCAAGAUUGCAUCAAUUUUUGAUUCAAAUGUGAAGGCAACACCAAAGACAUAUCAUGUCUUGAAGCGAAAGGCACCUUUUUGGUUCUGAUAAAAAACUUGUUCUCUGAAAGUUAUUCUAAACUCUAGAUAUCAGGGCUGUUUUGUCCUAAAAUGAUGCAAGAACAUCAUUAUGCAAGAAAUCUAUCUAGCAGACAGUGUUAUCUUGCCAUCAUUAGAUUUCUGGAAAAAGAAAACAGAGAGAGAACAAAAAUGCAGGGUUAGCUCUAGUCUUUGUAUGUGCAAAAUACUAGAGUUUUGGUGAUGAGUAACUUACGCAAUGUUAACUCUAUCUUGCCAUCUGAACCACUAAUGAAUAAAACAAAGAAUACAUAUUCUUUACUGUUAGUGAUGAGUAAUUUUCAGAACAUCAUGCCUAAUUGAUAGUGCCUUUGGGCAAUGACUCCAACAUUCGAUGAAUAUAUGCAUAAUUGGAAAAGUAGACCAAACAGAGUCGAUCCUAAGCCCAAACAGAUAAAUGGUGCAGCAGAACUAGCAGCAUAGGAGUUGCCAACAAAAGAAAAUCUAUGAAAGCAUCAACAAAUUUAAAGAUGUACCUUCUAGGAAACAAAUGCUCAAUGAUCUACCAUGAGAAAUGGCAGACAUGCUACAGAUAAAAUUGAACUUAUUCAGGAAAAAAGAUAAAAAUUGAACUUACACAUAAUGCCACAGAGAUCUUUCGCCGUGAAUUUCACCAUCUUGGGCUCUUGGCUGCCUUGGAAUAGCACACUAAGCUAAACAUGACAAGGCCUCUUUGGAUGCCAUCAGACUUGAUGGCAGUGAAGGUGCACUCCAUCUAGAACCACAGUAGAGGAAAUUGUUAUUAAGCUUGACACAUUGAAUAACUAUGACCAGUUAGUUUCUAGGAAAUCUUCAAGCCGUUAUAUGGUGGUUUUAGAAAAAAAUAAAAAAUAAAACACUCUGUAUAUUCAGAAUUUACUGAAGACUCAAUUAAAAAAAGAAUUAAUGAAGAUUAAUUCAGACCACUGAAACAAGAAAAUAAUGAAUACACUUAGCAUUAAAUAUUCGAAGAACAACAAACAUUCAGAACAUGGAACACUGAACACAGAAAAUACAAUACAAAUAAAACAAUAACUUCAAACUUAACAAAAUACUAAUGGAAGAUUGAAAUACUGAAGCAAUGAGCCACAAUUGGCUGGUGGUCAUUGAAGCAACCAAGCAACAUCAUCCUCACAUUUCCAUCACAGUGUGCUCCAACAACUCCACCAACAUGAACAGGAACUUGAGGACGUCACGUGCACCAUCCUGAGUUCCUGACGGUGGCAAAGGCCUUGCUUUUGAAAAUCGCCAGCACCGUAUCCUAGAGGCAUUUUGCCGUCUAUUUUGGGAAGGAAUACUGGAAUAGCACACAGGGGCGGACCUUGUAUAAGGACAUAGGUGUACAGAUGUACACCCAAUAUUUUUUUGCUAAACACUAGCAGUUUGUAUGUAUACAAUACAUAUGCAUACUCACAGCUUGUCCAGAACGUGUAUAUUUGAGCCCCAGCACUCGAAAUAGCCCAGCAAUAUCCCAAACUCCCUCCACCCUCUCUUCUUUGUCUCUCGCAUGCAACGAUGGGCCGGGCCUGGUAGUAUUGCCCACAUCUGCAGUCUGCACAAAAGCCACCUCAUUAAGCAGGGGAGCAAGCACGCGCUGUCCAGGCCAGAUGCGAGCAGCAAGCGCCGAGGUAAGGGGUAGACCAACAUCAGGGGGAGUGAGGAAACGCUGUCACGGAUUGCUACACCGGCGGCCGGUCUUGCUGUAGUCUGUACACGAUUACUAUAGCUACUCAAUAAUAAAAACUGCUAGUUUCAAUUGUACAUCAAUAAAAAAAUAAAUUUGAAAACCCCCUAAUCUUCAUCUGAAGUAGAGAAACUGGAAUUGCAAGGACAAAGUGUUGGGUUGAUGGGACAGCACGUGGUGUUGAUAAUUCAUGAACAUUAACAUGACUAAUAAGUUCUUGAAGAUGAUGGAUAAUUUAUGAUGUUGACAAGCUUUUGUAUGACCAUGGGGGAGAUGAGUGCCAUGUGCCAUGUUAGGUUAUGAUGAUGUCAAGACAUAUUGCAUUAGCGCCUUGACAAGAUACGAUUUUCCAAGAGAAGUGUAAAAUCGUGUAGCAAAGACAAUCACCUAGACCUGAAGUAUACUAGAUUGUAGACUCCCCCCUUCUUUUAUGGAGGUAUAACGUUUGGAAUCUCCGUACAGCUAAUUCUAAAAUCCUACGUCCGCCACUGAUAGCACAGAGAUCAAACAAAAGGAUCCGAGAGAUUGCUAGUGCGGGAAAUGAAAGACAAUGCUUUAUCAAAACUGAGAACCUACCCACAACACAACUACCAAUGCAGAUAUUGAAACCAAAUCAACGCACGAAGAACAAACAAAAUGAAUAUACGUGCGCUGAGCUCGCGGGGAGUGAUGGAGUGGUGCCGGUAAAGAGGGGGUGACCGGGGACAAAUCUUGCUAUCACGCACACAAGGUGUUUGUGGUAUUGUCUAGAUGGGGCUUUGCAAUUGUUCAAUGUUCACAGUGGACAUGGUAGCAUUACGUGUAUGGUCACGCAUCCUCGAGUUCUGCGACCAUGAGCGCGAUAUGUCAAUGGACACUAUGAUCAUUCACUAUCGCUGAAUUUUGGCCCUAGUCUAACCAAAAGCUGGGUCCGCCACUUAUCGCAAUCCAGCAAACCGCCGACGACGGUGUCUCUCAUCGCCGGCGGUUCACGGGAGCCGACCUCUGAGAACAUGAAAAACUGUCGAGUGAGCGGAUAAUAAUAGCGAGCUACCGGGCCAACGGAACGAACGGGCCGACAAACACAACAAACAAUGGCCCGUCAAUUAGAACACAACUAACAGCAGCACAGAUCUUGAAAGGAUCGUGGCCGUUGAAAUCCGAGUGAUAAGAAGAUAUAAAAACACCCGAUAGAUGGUUAGAAAUUCCGUUUUUUUUUUAAAAAAAAAGUGGAGGAUGGCAGGGAAUAUGUACAAAUGCACUGCACAGCACAGCCCAACGACCAAACCCAUUUCUAGCAAAUUUUGGUUAACCAGUUGUGGUCUGGACCAGGCCUGCUUUGAUUCUUUCGCGUGCGCGCGGAACCCAAACCACGCACCUCACCAAUCAACUGUCGGUGCGGCGGCCAUGUCCGGCAAGGAGGGUUUUACGAACACUGUCGCGCUCGCGGAGGAAAGACUCGCCGCCUCUACAGUCUGGAGUAUACCGAAAGCAAAGCACAGUGGCUGCGGCUCCCCUUUCCCGGAAUCGGAACAAAAAAUUGGGUGCAUCCGGGAUGCAAAACGCAUCCUGUGCAUACCGACGUUGUUGGGCGACGUGUGGAUGCCGAGCCAAUCCAACGGAUCGCCUGCUCCGCCUGGUCUCGCAUGCACUUCCGAGCUCCUGGCUCCUCCUCACAGACAAUCUCGGCUCGGGUCCCUCCCAGCCUGGCGAGUGCGAUGUGCAAGUCUCAGGUGAAGAUCGAUACUCAGUAGUUAAUACGUACUACCUGUAUGCUACUACUAGUCAAACAAACCAACACUAGUUCACAUUGGUUCUAGCUAUUUUGCACAGAAAGCUUAUCGGAGAAGCCUGUUUGUUCGCUUGUUGUGUAAGGAUGAGAAUGAGAUGGCGGCCGAAUAUACACUUGAUACCACUUUGUAGUUUUCUUUUGUUAUGUUGACAUAUGGAUCUUACUGUGGCGUAAUCAUGAAUUUUACUUUACAUUAUGUUGCAGCUGAAUCAGAUAUUAACUUAUAUUACAAGGGAGAAUGCUACUCAUGAUAAUAUAUAUGUGCACUGCUUCUUCAGUUUGCAUCAAAUUGUAGGAUAGACCAUAGAAAAAUUUAGCAUUCCAAUAACUAUGAAAACACCCCACAUCGAUGAUGCAAACUGUAGAUAGACCAUAGAAAAAUUUACAGCAAUUUUCUUAAAUUUAUAGAUGAUCUCAAUCCUCAAUUGUCAAUCAUGUUACAAAAUCAGCAAUUUAUAAUUACAAUUUGAUAUGCCAUCCAGCGAGUGGGAGGAACGGAUGGAUGUUCUCAGGUAGCUCUAUCCACAGUUUGUGCCGGAUGCCAGCAGCUUCUCAGCUUGUUGCUUACAUUUUAUUAGACACAUCCAUUAUAUUUCAGAUUUCCAAGCAUCCAUAUGUAUUUCAGAAAAAAGAGAUACGAUGUACAUUGAUCCUGUGAGACCAUCUACAAUACAAAUAGGUCUGCACACAUCAUACAUUGACACUUCAUCCUGCCAAUACAAAAAAUCAAUCUACACAUGUAACUUCAUCCCUACACUAUUGCCUUGCGAGCACUGCUGGAGAAGGAUGUGAUGACGUUGAGACACAUCAACAUACAUGACUUUCAACUAGGAGUCUGAAAUAAAAUUGAUUUAGUGACUGCAGACAUCUUGAACAACUUGACAUAUUAAAAAAAACCAUCGUCUUCUAACUUGAUUGUAGCACCUAUGCAGCCAUACUUGACACAAGAACAACAAUAAGCAUGUACUCAAAAUACCCUAACCAAAAAUGUCAAACUCAAUCAUAAUUUGUGAGUUGUGACUCACUGUCCUGAAGCAUUUGGAUAAGCCACCAUUCCGAACCCAAGUUCUCCGAAAUUAUCACAGUAACAAGAUAAAUCAUAAAAUAAAAACUCCUAUGGAACCGCCUUGUCCGGAGCCGUCCCUCCCAUCUGUUGGCCUCCCGCCUAGGCAGCAUCCCUGACGCACCCCUUGUUCUUCACAUCAAUGGCCACUUCUACCUCCGCAUGGUGUAUCAGGUUCAUCAAUUGAUGUUCUGUUCUACAGGGUACAGGCCAAAUCAAGUAGCGUCAGAACUAUCAGAAGUGGCACCAGAAGAUCAUCGUCCUUCCAGAGUGAUGGCAGAAUGUGAGGAACAAGGCUAAUAUAUGUGAAGUGUGCCCAAGAUUAAUGUUGUUUUUUUAUCACGUGAAGCUAUCGAAUUUGGCUAAUAAUCAAAGUGAUCAAAGCUCAAAACAACAUAACAACAGUAAGUGGAAUGCGCUCCCCAUGAGGCCCUGAAUCCAUUUUGCUCCAUUUUGUGAACAAUCCAUUUUGCUCCCAUUUACUGUUUGAGAUCUUGCUGGAUAGGUAGUAGCUGCUUGAGCAGGAGCAGCAAAUUCUCUAUUGGGUGCUAAUAUGACUAUAUGAGGAGGAUACUUAAGUGUGAUGCAGUAUCUGUGAUUUGGCGAUUGUCAAGAUUAAGAGACUUUAGCGAACUCAAGCUAAGAAUCUUCUUCAAACAAAUGCUAGUAAUCAACAUAAAAGAGAGAUUUGUGCUUUCGGAAAAUAACGCAGAACUGUAGAAACAGAACAUCACAAGAACGGUUUUUCUUCUAAACUAAAAUAUUGUAACGAUUUAAAAUCAUCCUAGCACGACACCUUAAAAUUGGAAAUCAUUAGGUGUAUGGCUACGAAGCAUCUAUUGAGAAUAAAGGUCAAUUUUAUAAAGGACGGUAGAAACAACAGUGUAAAUUAGCAAGCCAACACGGGAUCUAAACUGCUCUAUGCGCAGAGAUUAAAAAGAAAUGGGAAAAAAAAUAACGCUACAUACUCAACGCAACCUGCGCCAUGACCUUUUGCAGCAUGACCUGCAACACCACAGUCCUGGCUCCCUGGCGCCGCUGGCUCCACGGACCGGCGGACUGCAUGAACCGAAGAAUGCGGGAUCCCUCCACUAACCGCAGGAACCAGAGAGCACGGGGAGAGCUUGUGCAGGACCUCCCCGGAACCGAGGAAGCUGGAGGGGGAUGCGGCGGACGGCGGCGGCGGGGGCAGAUAAGGGAAGCGGUGGUGACAGAUAAUGGAGGACAUAAUGGACCGGACGGCUUCACUGGUCUGUUUUUCAAAUCAUGUUGGAACAUAAUCAAAGGUGAUGUAAUAGUGGCUGUAAACGCCUUCUACAACGCUAGAUGCAACAACCUCAAUUUAGUCAACUCAGCCAACAUCGUCCUAAUACCCAAAAAGGAAGGAGCCGAAAGCAUCAAGGAUUUCAGACCGAUAAGCCUCGUACACGCCAUUGCAAAAAUCAUUAGCAAAAUUCUGGCAACAAGACUCCAGCCAUAUCUAGAGAAAUUGAUAUCACCAAGCCAAAGCACCUUCAUAAAAGGAAGAAGCAUACACGACAACUUCAUGUACGUUCGGAAUAUGGCAAGAAGAUUUCACAGACACAGAACGCCGACGCUGCUAAUGAAGCUGGACAUCUCAAAGGCCUUUGACUCUGUCCGAUGGGAUUACCUGCUCGAGCUGAUGCAGCGCAGAGGCUUUCCCACGUGGUGGCGGGACUGGAUAACUGCAUUACUGGCCACAUCAACUUCCAAAGUCCUGAUAAAUGAAAUCCCAUCUGAUUCAAUCGCACACGGGCGAGGACUACGACAAGGAGACCCGCUAUCCCCCUUCCUCUUCAUCCUUGCGAUAGAUCCGUUGUACCAACUAAUACACAAGGCGACGGAAAUGGGACUACUCAAAAAGCUCGGAGGGCGUACGCCACGCACCAGCAUCUCCAUGCAUGUUGAUGACGCGGUCAUAUUCAUAAAACCGACACAAGCAGACGUCGCAAAUGUAACAAAGCUAUUGAAUCUUUUCGGGGAGGCAACUGGGCUUAAAACAAACCUACAAAAGACAAAUGUGGUCCCCAUCAACUGCGACAACGUAGACCUCGAAGAAAUCCUCUCAGAGUGGCCGAUUGCUCGCACAGGCUUCCCAUUAAGGUACCUCGGACUACCACUUGCGAUAAGGCGCCUAAGGAAAUUGGACUUUCAGCCCCUAAUGGACAAAACAGCACAGAAGCUCUCCGGAUGGCAUAGUCGCAAUCUCUCCCAAGCAGGACGGGUUUGCCUCACCAAAGCAGUGCUUUCAGCGCAGCCAUUAUACCUACUAACCGUCAUAAAAGCACCAAACGAAGUACUAGACGAACUAGACAAAAUAAGGAAAUGAUUCAUCUGGGUCGGAGACACAACGCUUACAGGCGGCAAAUGCAAGGUUAAUUGGAUCAAAUCCUGCUUACCAAAAGAAAAUGGGGGGUUAGGAGUGCUAAACCUACACAAAUUCGCUAGAGCAUUGAGACUGCGAUGGAUUUGGCACGAGUGGGAAUCACCGCGGAAAACAUGGAUUGGAACGGAGAAAAACAUGGAUUGGAACGGAGAUACCAUGUGACGACUCCGAUCAACGUUUGUUCGCGACUUGCACAACGAUCACAGUGGGUAAUGGACGCAAAACAAGCUUCUGGCAUUCAGCCUGGGGACAAGGAACUAGGCCAAAGGACAUUGCGCCCAACAUAUAUAUGCUAUCCAGGGGGAAGCAUAAAAAACUAGCAGAAACCUUAUAUAACAAUAGCUGGGUGGCGGACAUAAACAUUCACGAAGGACUGACAACGCAACACCUCCAAGAAUUUGUAACACUAUGGCGUCUAGCAACAAUGGUGCGGCUGCAAACACAACAGGAAGACACAAUUCAAUGGAAAUUCAUGUCUAACGGAAAAUACUCAGCGGCAUCGGCAUACAAGGCGCAGUUCCUGGGAUCCACUUAUGCACCACACUACAAAACAAUAUGGCACUGCUGGGCGCCACCGAAAUGCAAGUUUUUCGCAUGGUUGAUCCUCCAAAACCGCGUAUGGACAGCCGAUCGACUUGUGCGACGAGGAUGGCCUCACUCCCCUGCAUGCCCCUUGUGCCGUAUACAACAAGAGACAGCACACCACCUAGUGGCUCAGUGCAGAUACACCAAGCGAAUAUGGAGCCUCGUGGCCACUUGGGCAUCGCAACCAAGCAUACAACCCUCGGAAUGGUCCCCAACCGACAACGCUCUGGAAUGGUGGAUGAAUAUGACUACAAGGACCGAAGCCCCUAGGAAGGGAACAUGCUCUAUGGUGCUGCUGAUAAUAUGGGAAAUCUGGAAGGAGCGGAAUAGGCGAAUUUUCAACCAUCAAGAGAUGGCAGCAACCUCAUUGCUGGCCAAAAUCAAGGAGGAAGCAGGCACAUGGAUUUUAGCAGGGGCAAAAGCUUUAGCAACCUUUUCAUCUAGAGAGUAAUCGCGUAAGAGUGACAUAUUAUGAAACACUUCUAUAAUAAUCUACUCUAUCAAUGAAAUAGGCACCGUCACGUGCCCAUUCGUUAAAAAAAAAAGACAGAUAAUGGAGGAGGCGGCGGGGAUUUGGUGCUUUGGGUUUGCACUGGGGAGAGCCACGUUGCAACCCUCGCUCGCCUGGAGUUGAGCCGCGUCCUCGCAUUGUGGUAGGCUGGCAGCCGAGUCCGCCCAUAGACGUCGGAUGGAAGGGGCGCCCACGAUGUCGUUCAUUCAGGGACGGUAUGCACCGGAUCUUUUCCCCAGAAUCCCAGUUCAUCACUCGCAUUCGCAGGCGUCCCAGGAGUACAUGUGUCAUCGGUUGCUCAGCCCAGGGCCUCUAGGGUGUCAGGGACCGAGAUAGUACAGGAAACACGAGAUACAUAUCGAAUUUAAUGGCGCCACAUGGGCAUGCUGGCGAUCGGCAAAUCCUCAAGAGCUUCCGGAUGCUCCAGCGUUUUGACCUACUCCGUGCAUGCGCGGUCCAGGAAAGCACUCAGCACUCAGCAGCAAGCUGACAAAUAAAGGGCCGAAAGGGGAUUAACUAGCUGAAGGACUGCACUAAGAGAUGUUUGGAUACUAUGUGCUAAACUUUAGCAGUGUCACAUCAAAUGUUUGGAUGCUAAUUAGGAGGACUAAACAUGGGCUAAUUAUAAAACUAAUUGCAGAACCUUGUGCUAAUUCGCGAGACGAAUCUAUUAAGCCUAAUUAAUCCAUUAUUAGCAAAUGGUUACUGUAGCACCAUAUUGUCAAAUUAUGGACUAAUUAGGCUUAAUAGAUUCGUCUCGCGAAUUAGACUCCAUCUGUGCAAUUAGUUUUGUAAUUAGCCUAUGUUUAAUACUCCUAAUUAACAUCCAAACAUUCGAUGUGACAGAUGCUAAACUUUAGCAGUGGUUAUCCAAACGGGACCUAAGUAUGAGACUAGGCUACCUCAGUCAAAUUUUUUGAUACAAUGAGUAUGAGACUAGCGUGGAGUGAAGAGCUAGUCUCUCUCACUUUUUGAUGCAACUCUCUCACAACACGAUCUUCAAAGCUGCCAUGUACGUAAGAUCCACAUCAACUAUGAUCUAUCAACUAACUUAUACCAUUGGAGACACGCUAACUUAUGAUUAGUUGUUGUUUAAGUGUAAGGACCUCAAUCAUCAACUAUCAUGGACACAGAGCACGCGUGAGGAUGAUAGGAAGAUGGUAGGUCUUCGGCACAAAAGGAUUGGGUAAAUUGCACCCUGAUUAAUUAAUCCAUAUUUGACCCCUAUAAUUGGCAUCCAAAUCCUAUAGAAGUAAACAAUAUACUUGGAUCCAAACGACUCCUCUGUUCAAUAAUGUACAUAUGGAUAUACAAUUCCGCGCAUGCAUAGCAUCUAUGCCUUGGACUAACGUCCAUAAGAUUUUAAUUUUUUGGGUACGUUCAAAGAAGAUGCAAACCAUAUAUAAAUCCCUUGUUCUUUUGUCCUUAUCUGUACCUUAUUACGUCAGCUUUUUUUCAAAGCACAAUACAGAUUGACGUCUGUAGUUAUUCGGCAAGGAGUCAUAAGAUGCAAUUGCACCAGAUGUGUUUGCUAAUUUGAGAGCUCCAUGCUAGUUGGCACAUGCAAAAUAAGGACAUUUUUUUGUCGAAAAGAAAGACUUUUGUAUCCUAAAAGAUAAAUAUGACCAACAGCUUACGCAAAAUCUUAUUCAAAAACAUGAUUGAACCUUUUGAAAUCAACACUGGAUAGGCAUGUAGUACACUCCGGGUUUCAAUCGUGGCAGCGGCAGCGCGGCCCACCCGCUCGCAGGAUACACAUGACGUGUGGUAAGAGUGACGGCCCUCUUGCAACUCCUCCUUUUGGGAGCCUUUUUAUGCCAAAGUUGGCAUUUGGACUCUCGCACCUUCCCCUAGUAGUCCAGACUCCAGACCCCCUCUAUAUACACAUACCACCACCUUGGCACCUUCAGCAAACACAACCAACCUGGCACUCUCUCAUAGCUAGAGAGAGAGAGGCGUAGAGAUAAUCAGAUCGUCAGUCAGAGAGAGGGGGAGCUAUAUAUAGCCUGUAUCAUUGAGGAGGAGGAGGAGAGAGAGAUGGAGCAGGUGGCCAUGGCGGUGAAGGUGUUGCUGAGCCUGUGCUGCGUGGGGGCAUGCGGCCUCGCCGUGUACCUCUACUACAUCCUCUGGCUCGUGCCGCAGAGGGUCCUCGCCGAGUUCAGGCGGCAGGGCAUCGGCGGGCCGCGGCCGUCGUUCCCUUACGGCAACCUCGCCGACAUGCGGGAGGCGGUCGCAACCGCGAAGGCUGCGCGCGCGUCGGCGCGCCGCCCCGGCUGCUGCUGCGGCGGCGGCGGCAUCGUGCACGACUACCGGCCGGCCGUGCUGCCCUACUACGAGAAAUGGAGGAAAGAGCAUGGUAAGUACGUGGCUUUCAGCUAUGCUUUCGUGGCAUUUGGUGCUUGGUCAUGUGGCAUGCACGCGUGGUUUUAUUUCUUUGAUGCCCAAUUUGAGUGUGUGCUAUGAUUCUUGCUCUAAUUUGCACUCGAUCUGACGAUUAUUGCUGGGCUACUGCUGUUAAUCUUAAUUAUGUUUCACUGCUCCAUGGAGGGAGAUCAUGAUUCAUAAGCCAACGAAUCAUUAGAAGAAACAGAAACAAAUCACACCUGAGAUAUGUAGUUAGGAGCUAGCAGAGACGUCCAUUCAUUCUAGCUUUUACACGCGUUCAGUGAAUGUGUGUUCUGAUAUCAGUACGUAUAGCCAGCCACCAAUGCGAGAAGACAGUGAAAAAGACAAGGUUAUUAAAAAACUAAACAAUGUUGGUCCAUUGAACCACUGGGUAGCAACUGGUGACAAGCUGCAGCAAUGGAAUCCAAGCCCCUAUGUUUUGGUUAAAGAAACCAAUGAGUCAGCAGAGGGGUGGCGCUACAUGUUAUCCCAAUAAUUGAGCCAUCACUAGGCUGGCCACUCCACAUGAAGAGACGACCAUGUAGCAACAGAAAUCCCACCACUACUUCUUUGCUCUUCUGUCACCGAGUGCCAUCCUUUUCAAGGACCCGGCGGUACUGAUGGCUGAUGGGCGCACAUCCAGUUGAGCGAUACUAAACUACCAAAAAUAACUCCGCCAUCCCAUGUCCAUGCUGAUCCUACGCUAAUUGUAGCUGUUUCAACGCUAACAGCACAAUCAACGGGGUCCAUCAUCUCACGCAGCGUAGGCUAGCUACUUUUGCUGUUGCUGUUACUGUUGUGCAGCAGGAUGAAUUAGGUGAGCUGGCCAUCACGAUGGGAAGCUCCCCUGGACGCUAGCGGCACGGAGAGACGUCACGAGAGAACAAACCUACAAAGAUCUGAAACCAACAAAUCGUAAAGAAAAGCUGGGGUGGGGUUGAGGCGAUGAUUUUGUUUUUAGAUCAUGUCCUGUAGUUUUGGCACGACGCAAAGGGGUCAGGGUUGGGGUCUUGGAACUGGGAGCUAGCCAAGUCGAUGCUCCAUGCUAUGCUUCCCUGAAAGUAAAGCUGAGCAUGAGUUGGGAUAGUUGGGAUAUUUAGAUAUUAUUCGCUAAACUUUAGCAGUGUCACAUCGGAUGUUUAAAUACUAAUUAGGAGGACUAAACAUGAGUUAAUUAUAAAACUAAUUUCAGAACCCUGCGCUAAUUUGCGAGACGAAUCUAUUAAGCCUAAUUAAUCCAUCAUUAGCAAAUGGUUACUAUAGUACCACAUUGUCAAAUCAUGGACUAAUUAGGUUUAAUAGAUUCGUCUCGCGAAUUAGACUCAAUCUGUGCAAUUAGUUUUGUAAUUAGCCUAUAUUUAAUACUCCUAGUUAGCAUCCAAAUAUCCAAUGUGAUAGGUGCUAAACUUUAGCAGGGAGUAUCCAAACGGGUCUAAUUUUUGUUGUUUCUUUUUCCCCUUUUGAAAUAUAUAGGUUUUUUUGUUGCCUCCCAUUCCUCAUAAUUGAAUGAAUAGUAGUACACUAACCGAGUAACGUAAAACCGCAACGACGACCAAUGGGUAUCCACCCAAGGAAACAUUUCACAAUCAGGUCACGUCACGGCGGCAUCACGGAGGAAGAGGACAUUCCAUUAUUGUAUGAAAAUUGUAUGGAAGCCAAUGUAUCGCCCGCAGGCCGCAGCAUGGCCCCUGUCCUGACGCACGACACACGAGCCAGCGUAUCACAUCAGUAAAGAUGAGGCGGCUCGCGUAGCUCCAUCUCUGUUCCUGGGCUCGGUCGUGUAGCGCUUCCUCUCCAGAUCACUCCCCGAGCGAGACCGGUCAGAGAGAGCUGAAAGGGAGGGCGUUGGCGUGAUCGGCGCCGCGGCACGUCGGUGUCGCGGGUGCCGCCAGCACGGGGCGCGCGCGUGCGGCCCCUCUCGCAGCCCACGCGCGCGCAGGUGGAGCGGGGCCGCGCGGGCGCGUGCUUUUCAUCGCUGGUUCUGCUUCACGCUGGCCUGCCCGCCUGGCCGAUGGCCGAUGACGCUUCGUCGUCCAGCCGUUGCGAUGUGAUCUCGCAUCCCCGCUCGAGAGGGACGGCGGCCUGGUGGGAAAGGAACAACCGGGACGGCAGGCAGAGAGAUCGGCCGUUCUGCUUCGGUUUGGUUGGCCGGCUGGCUGCCGAGCGUGGGUUGGCUCCUCCGGGCACGCGUGCUCCGCCCGCCUCCCGGCCGGUGGGAAGAAAAGUAGCGCGGUUACGGAUGACGAAAUGGGAAGCCGAGUACCGGACGACACUGUAGGGUGCCCACCGCCGUGUCGCAUUCCCGGCGAGCGAUCCCGCUGAUAUUUUCCCUUCCAUGAAUAUCUCGUGAGCUGCCGGUGACCGGCAGGCCGAUAGCCACCACGUGCCAUGAAAUUUGUCUUCCUGAAGCCAGAUCCCACGACCCUUACGGAAAGAAUGAGGCCAGGUGGGGCAACAGAAAAAAAAAAAAGUUACUCCCUGCAUGACCAUUGAACAGAAAUUUGUCUUACAGAGUAUACAGAUCAGAGAACUGGAUGUACCUGGACAUAAAACUUUUUUUUGAAAGAUCCCGGACAUCAAGCCCUGGAUGACCAUUGAACAGGAUCAGUAACUCUGCAGCUUCCUCAGUUUCUGCAGUACUAGUAAGUCGAUAACAGUGCCAUGAAUGAUGAAUAGACUGUCAUCAAAUGUAUUUUAUUUUCCAUAAUUGAGCAUAUAAUACAACCCCGUGGCUGGACCCCCGUCCACAUCUAUUUAGUACUUGAUGAAGAUCAAUACCGGAUUCCCAUUAACCUACUAAUUUGGCUGUGGCAGCUUAUUCAGCAACUAGACAGUGACCGGUUGAGGAACAGGCCGAGCUGAAGCUGUCAGGUUUUUAUUGAAAUGCAGGCCCCAUAUUCACUUACUCCAUGGGGAACGUCGUAUUCCUUCACGUGAGCCGGCCGGACGUGGUCCGGGACAUCAACCUCUGCGUGUCGCUGGACCUCGGCAAGAGCUCCUACCUCAAGGCCACGCACGAGCCGCUGUUCGGCGGGGGCAUCCUCAAGUCCAACGGUGAGGCAUGGCUGCACCAGAGGAAGAUCAUCGCCCCUGAGUUCUUCCUGGACAAGGUUAAGGUACGAGGCAUCAAACUGUCCCAACGAAUAAGUACAGGUAAUUAACUGUUGUACCGUAAAAAUAUUGUAUGUAAACAAAGCUACGCAAACAUAUCAAUUAUGAAAAUUAAAACUUUGAGAUGCUGCUCACUUGCCCGCUCAAGAGUUGGCAAUCCUGAAAUGCUUGCUCAAAGAGAGCUGUAUUGCAGAAAAAGAUUUAAAGGCCAUCUGCCGAUAAAUUUCAGAGGUUUCAGAUUGAUACAAGAGCAUUAAAAGCUGUGACCCGUGGGCCUCAGCAAUUAAGCUGUGGGUCUAUAUGUGCCUGCUUAUUUGCAAACGCAAUUCAGAAUGGCAGUUCAGUAUGAGAGCUGGUAUGAAAAACUGCAACAUUCUGAUCAAGAUAGAUAAUGUGUGAUAAAUAUUCUAACUAGGACAGCUCCCAACAGCAAAACUACGAUGUUCUGAUACAGCUAGAUAAUGUGGGGUGUGACUCCAGUCAGGAGUCAGGACCACUUCAGUAACUCUGCAUUUUUUACUCAGCUCUUAUUGCAGUCACUUAGUUCAUUAGCUGGAGGCAGCAGACAGCCAUGAAUUUUGAAAUUUUAGCCUAACCCUUACGCCUUCACAUAUUCAGGGCAUGGUGGAUCUCAUGGUCGAUUCUGCACAACCACUGCUCAAGUUGUGGGAAGAGAGAGUUGACAGAAAUGGUGGGAUCACAGACAUUAAGAUCGAUGAUGACAUUAGGGCCUACUCUGCAGAUGUGAUCUCUAGAACAUGCUUCGGAAGCAACUACAUCAAAGGAAAGGAAAUUUUUAUAAAGAUAAGAGAACUACAGCAGGCUGUGUCCAAGCCAAAUGUGCUAGCUGAAAUGACUGGCCUAAGGUUAGGGAAAAAAUAACUGCUGGUUUAGAAACAUAACACAAGUACAUAUUUGAUUUUGCGCAGGAAUAAAAAAAUACAUUGUUGUCAAUUCAAAGCGACAUAUUGGUUAAAAAUACCUAAGGGGCAUAUUUUAAAUGCUUGCAGGUUCUUCCCUUCGACGAGGAACAAGCAGGCAUGGGAGCUUCACAAAGAAGUCCACAAACUUAUCCUAGAAAUUGUAAAGGAAAGUGGAGAAGACAGGAACUUACUAAGUGCAAUUCUUCACAGUGCAAGCUACAGCAGGGUGGGUAUCGCCGAGGCAGAGAACUUUAUAGUGGAUAACUGCAAGAGCAUAUAUUUUGCAGGAUAUGAGAGCACAGCUGUCACAGCUGCCUGGUGUCUAAUGCUCCUUGGGCUGCACCCAGAAUGGCAGGACCGGGUACGAGCAGAGGUGCAUGAAGUCUGCAGAGGCCGGCCAUUAGACUCCCAGUCACUUCAGAAAAUGAAAAAUGUAUGCUCUUAUCCUAUCCCCAAGUGUUCAAAAAGGCACUGCUUUGAUUUGCUGUAACAUGCCACUAACUUCUGUUUGCCAAUUUAGUUGACAAUGGUGAUCCAGGAGACCUUGCGCUUGUACCCAGCAGGGGCCUUUGUAUCAAGGCAGGCCCUCCAGGACCUGAAGCUUGGAGGUGUACAUAUACCAAAAGGUGUCAACAUCUACAUCCCUGUCUCCACAAUGCAUCUUGACCCCAAGCUAUGGGGCGCCGAUGUGAAAGAGUUCAACCCAGAGCGCUUCUCUGAUGUUAGACCCCAGCUACAUUCAUACUUGCCGUUUGGUGCUGGGGCACGGACCUGCCUAGGGCAGGGAUUUGCUAUGGCUGAGCUCAAGAUCCUCAUCUCUCUUAUCAUCUCCAAGUUUAUUCUGAAGCUCUCACCACACUACGAGCAUUCUCCAACACUUAAACUCAUUGUUGAGCCAGAGCUUGGUGUGGACCUCACGUUAACAAAAGUGCAGUGUCUAUAGACUAAGAGGAGGUCUGCAAUUCAACACGAUAACAUUAGUCAUACUAUGUGAUGGAAAGGAAACUAUGAUCUGAUGAAUGCAGCUACCAAGGAGGGAGGGGGGAGGGGGGGUGUUGUAAUUUGUACAGAGAUAUCCCAUGAUAUUUAGGCUUGAUCUUUAUCUUGUUCAUGUUCGUAAUAAGUCGAUAGAGAAAUGGUGCCAAAUGAGGCAAUCAUUUGUGCCAACAUUGUAUGGGAAAACACUACAGCUAUAGAAUUAGUACCAAAAAGAAUAUAUGUUGGAACAUUAUUAAGGUGUUCAAUGCUCGAGCAUGCCGAUACAGAUGUUGAAUUGUUUGUUGAACAAAAGGGGUGCUGCGCUGCAUACCUUACAUAUGAACAUAACCUGAACCUCUCUGCAAGUUGCAACAGAAAUGAGUGAAUAGAUAAUUUUUCUUCUCCACUUGAUCAGCAUCUGUAGCAUUGAAAUGUACUGACAGCAUUUCUGAAUAUCAAGGGAGCUGAACGUGAAUUAGAAUCAGAUUGAACCCAGGGUAGUUUCCAUAGAAAAGAUCUGCAACUGGUAAACUGAGAGUGGAAUAUAGAUAAGACUUACUUACACAAAAGGUUGGUUUGUAUCACCACUCAGCCUAAGGUAGUAGACAAAUGCCUUUAGCUGUAAAGCAUUAUCCAACUGCAAAAUAACACUGACCCUGAGCACUAAAAUAGGGGGAGGCAACCAUAAAACAUGCUCAUAAACAACAAAUGUGUCAGCAAUUCAUAAGUAAGAACAAAGGAAAGAUAACCACGCGUAAUGCAUAAGACACAUUUCAAACAAAUUGAUCACACUUGCACACAACACAUACUUUGACAGUAUAAAUGCUGAAAAAACUGUCUUCUGACCAGAAUUAAUUUACCAGAACAAUAACAGAAAUCCACAUUGGAGCCAACACAAACAUAUUUCCAGCAACUUUGAGUAUAAUUAACUUUUACAUAAUGCUGGAACUGAUAUUGAUCCAACCCAACAGCCAAAACUAUACAAGGAGGCUCAGCCUGACACCAACUUCACAACAAUGAUAAGAACAUUAAGGGCUAUCAAGGGCAUCCUCAGAAAUUGCGUGGCGUAGAUAAGCCCCACGAUCUGGCCCUUCAACGACUUUGUUUGCCCGUUUCCUGACACUUCAGACAUGCUCCAUCCCCUAGGAGCAAGAAAACGGUCUUCGUUCAGUAUCGCCAACGCAUUUGCGAGAAGCAAAAAACCCUCUAGCAACGUCCACAGUCCCAUUCCU
rnacentral:lncRNA from 1 species